UAACAUAACACACUAAAUUUCAAUUUGGCAAUUGAAAUGAAAGACCACUAUAUAUUCUUUUCCUGUAUCUACUUACAUAUAUGGAUAGAGAGGAGAAGGUACAAUUACAAAAGGAGAAAUUAACUCUGCUGCAGGCCUUUGCUACUACUUGGGUUCAAUCCUGGGCGAAACUGCGUAUCCACCACUGUAAUCAAAGGCACCAGUGCUGUCAUUCACUUCCUUUUUCGGCAAGCCAUCGUUGUACGGAUGCUUAGGAGCUCCUUUUGAUGCUGCAAAUUCUGUGGCUGAUGAAGAUGCUGAUGUUGAGUUUGUGUUCACGCCAUUAUUCUGCAGAAUGGUUUCAAUAGCCUUCACAAGCUCACUCAUUGUGGGGCGGUCUGCAGCUGAUUCUUCAACGCAUUGCAGGGCCAGCUCCAGGAACCUCCCAAACCCAAUAAGAGUUCCAGAGUUUCGAAUGCUUCGAUCCAUUAACUCCCUCAAACCAUAGUGUUCUUCAUCAUUCUUGUCCAUCAUCAAUAGUACCUCGCGGACGAUGUAUUUUCCCUUCUCAAGAGGCUGCCUAGCCGUUAUCAAUUCAAGCAUCACCACUCCAAAGCUGUAUACGUCACUCUUCUCAGUUAACUGUUGAGUCGUGUAGUAUUCAGGAUCAACAUAUCCCUGUAAGAACAAAACAGAAACUUAAGAGUAAAAACUCAAGAAUGUGUCAAUGGGAUGAAAUAUGUUGAAAUGCUAAUAACGUAAACCUUACCAUUGUGCCUUUGACCUGAGUUGAGACAUGCCCUUUUCCACUGUCAGCUACCAGCUUGGACAAGCCGAAAUCUGCAACCUUCGCGGUUAAAUGUUCAUCUAAUAGAAUGUUGGUGGACUUGACAUCUCUGUGAAUUAUAGGAGGAUUUGCAAGCUCAUGUAGGUAAGCUAGUCCACUUGCCGAGCCAAGAGUGAUGCGGAGUCUCCUCUUCCAAUCAAGAUGAAUACCAGAUCUCCCUGCAAUUCAUAUUUAAGCAAAGGUGAAGUUGGUCACUAUAUCUAUUGCAAACAAGUUAUCUCUAUGCAAUAUGAAAUAGCUGAGAGUAAAAUCUUUGAACUAACCUGACAAGCUUUCCCUGAGUGUUCCAUUAGGCAUAAACUCAUAAACCAGCAUCUGUUCUCCUUGUUCAAAACAAAAUCCCAAAAGGCCAACAACAUUUUUGUGAUGAACUCGCGAGAGCAACUCGAUUUCAGUCUUGAACUCAAGGCCACCCUGAAUUGAUCCUUGCUGAGCUCUUUUGAUUGCCACCACUUGUCCAUCAGAAAGCAUGCCUCUGUAAACCUAUGGACAACCAACCAAAAGGUGAAAAAAAACAUCCUUUAACUUGAAGCAGAAUUUCAUAGAUGUUACUGAAAUACUUGAAUUAAUAUACCUUCCCAUAUCCGCCAGAUCCUAUCUCAUUACUGUCAGAGAAAUUAUUUGUGCAUUUCUUAAGCUCAUCAAAAGAAAAACAUCUUGCUCCCUUUAACUGUGGUGCACCACCACUGUCUUUUCCGCUUGGUGCCCAAGAAGCUAGAAGAUAGAGAAAAGGAGUGAUACAAGCAAACCAACUUCUAAUGUCAAUGACAGAAUUUCAAUGUAUCCAAUCAUAAACAACAAGAAUAAUUAAUUACCAAAAGGUCGGCUUAAUCUGGCUCUUUCUGCACGUUUCUUUUGCCUAAUGGCAUAUAUUCCCACUACCACGAGGCCCAGUACAACAGCUACACAACUAACUGAUGUCCCAAUAAUAACACCAGUGCUCAUAGAACUUUUAUUCCCACCUGAAACAAUUUUGAGUUUUUAUUGUCAGUUUAAUCAAUCUUCUAAUGCAGGGAAAUGGCAUACGAAGUAACGAUGCGAUUUAAAUUACCCGGGAAAGUAUAAGGAUAUGGAAUAAAAUAAUAGGGUCCAAACCCCUCCGGUGGCAUUUGAUUUUGGUGGUUCAAAUCUAAACCAAUCCUUAUAAUCUCUGAUCUAUUAAAAUACAUUCCUGUAGGUGGAAAGAGUGCCAGCUGAAUUUGAAGAUAGUCAUUAAUAUCGAAGAAAGGGUUUUCAAGAGAAACUGAACCAGGAAUGAGGCCAAGUAUUUCCCAUAGAAUCGUUUCUAGUGCGUGAAACAUAGUCACAUUUGACAAUUCCCUGAAAGAGGGUGCUCUGAAAUACAAUGUUCCUUCGAAAGGAUAUGCACAUUGGCAACUCUGAGGGCCGAGCUUCUGAUUAUUGGGGCAUGUAAUGCGUGCACAAUUUGAGCUAGUAGUAUACGUAACUUUUCGCUCAAGCUCACAGAAUUUAGUGACGGCAGUUCCAUUGGUGCAAACUGGGUUCCCUACAAGUCUGCAAUAUGUAAAAGUGACAACUAAGAAUGGUGUUGAAAAAUACACAACCAUAGAAAAUCAAAAUCAAGGCCCAUGAACUGUCUCACAUUAAUGUAUGUUUGUAUUCAUAAUGCUGAUUUAAUUUAGGAAUCUGAUUGUUCUGCAGAUCAACAAGCUGCAGUUGUGGACUGAUGCUACCAACCAAGUUCAAUGUUUCGUUAAACGCAUUGUUUUUCAGUUUCCUGUCAAGGGUUAGAAAAAAAACAUGAAUGGCAAGUUUCCUAAAAUUACAGUCAAAACUUGAUGCUUUCUUCAGUAUUCUCCUUAAACUUACACUUGCUGCAAUGUUGGGAUGUUGAACAUCUUCUCUGGCACAGUCCCUUCAAGUGCUCCAAAUUCUAAAACGCUGUGUUCCAUAAAAGUAGAUAAUUUCAACAAAAAAUUACAACAAAGUUUUCAGGGUGUACUUUUCCAAGACUCAUUCAUAGAUACUAACACAUUUUUGUGUAACCUCCUAAGGACUUACAUAGUGGUGAUUGAGGUUAAGUUUGAGAACCAACGUGGAGCUUCUGAUGGGUCAAAUAAGUUGUUACUCAGGUCUCUGGAGUAAAAUCAUUAGGAUUUAUCAGUACAACAAAAGAACAACUUGCAGGAAACUUGAAACUUGAAAUGACAGCUCCAUGCCAUCUUACUCACACAGUAUGGAGGAACCUCAUUCCAGUUAAGUCAGGUAAAGGGCCUGUCAAUUUGUUGUGAGCCAAAUUUCUGGAAGAGAACAAAAACUCAUGUAAAAGAUUAUCAAGAAUAAUUAAGGUAACUGUUAACAGCACAUUAGAAUAUCCUCUUAGAGACUUGAUACUCACAGUUCAUUGACAUUUGUUAGGUUGCUGAUAUUUGAGGGGACAUUUCCUGUUAGAGCAUUUCUAUCAAGCCGACUGUUGCAAACAAGAAGGUUUUGAAUCCAAUAAGUAUCAAGAAGCAGAUACUUAUAUGUGAAAGAAUAACAAAAUGGAGCUGUUUUUGUACUCACAGAACCUCAAGAGUCUGAACGAGUGCUAUGGUUGAUGGAAUCUCCCCAAUAAAUUGAUUUCCAUCAAACAAACUGAAGUUGAAGAAUGACAUGCAGUUAGAUAAAUAUAAGUACAGAACAUAAACUGAUAGAUGGCAUCUGGCUAAAUUAAAAAAAUGAUCGAAGGGAUCAACUUACAUGUGUAUAAGUUUCAUCUUAGAGCUGAAAAGUUUGGGAUCAAUGGUACCUGAAAGCUGGUUCCUGCUGAAAUGGCUGCAUGUCCAUAUUAUCAGUUUAAUGUUUAUGCAAUAAGCAAUGGCAUAAUCCCUAUUAGAAUUUCAUCUUUUCACAAUGGAGAGAGUUUGGGAAAUGAAAAAAUACUCACAAGUGUUCAGCCUUCAAUAAAUUGUCUAAGCCUGAGGUAAGGGGGGUUGAAAUUGGUAGAGUUCCAGUCAACUGAUUGUCUACCAGGUCCAACCAGUAAAGUUUGGAGAGUUUACCCAAAGAAGGAGGUAUUUGACCAGUAAAUUUAUUCGUAUUCAGAGCCCUGAAAAGAACAAAAGAUUUAUAUAAAGUUGGGAAAGAAAAAACUUAAAAUGGUUUGCACUAACAGUAUGAUUAUCAAUUCAAUUCUUACAAGAAAGUUAGCUCUCCAAGAUUGCCCAAUUCCUCUGGAAUAUUGCCACUGAAGCCGCAGCCAGCUAGGAUCCUAAAAGAUGAAAAGAGUCCUGUAUACUUAUCCAAUAUACAAACUUAUAUUGCAUAUACAAAGUUCAAAAGGUGCAAAUAUGAAAAUUGCUUGCUAAUUUGUUCUUACAGGAUAUUUAACUUGCUCAGAUCUCCUAAUCGUGGAGACAGAGAACCCGUGAGGCCUUUGUUGAAUGAAAGGUCCCUGCAAUGUUAACGUUUCUACUUCGUUACAAAAAGGAUGCCAUGCUAAUCAAAGAUUGAGUGAUAACAAAAUAAUUGAUACUGCAAAAGAAAUAUGUUUUAUGCAUUUGUUUACAUACUGAAUCUAUUGCAUUGCAUCUGGGUUCAAUUCAUAAUGUGCUGCAAACAUAAUGCUGGUACAAAGAGGAGCAAUUAUACUCACAAGGAUCUUAAUUCAGAGAGUCCCCCAAUAUCGCCUUCAAUUUGUCCUUUCAAGUCCAUUGCUGAUAAUCCCCUGCACAUAAAAAAGUGCAAGGUUGAAAAUUUGUGUAAGAAAGUAAGUCACCAAUGCCCAGAACUACAAGGAUCACAUGAAAAUUCAAAGAUGAACAAUGCUCACAAUGCGGUCACCCUCGAAUUGUUGCACUUGACUCCUUCCCAGUUCAUUCCACAGGGAUCAUUUGACUUGUCGUUCCAGCUGGGUGGAAGAUCCGUCCAUGCCUCCUUCAAGGAUAUGAAAACAGCAGCUGGACCAACAGACUUACAAAUCAAUCUACUACCUUAACACAAAGUUUGUACACACAUAUGUGCAGGAUGUUCAACUUACAAUCAAAAUUUAGCCAAAACAUUAAGAAAAGCUUGCAUUAAACACAAUCUAAGUGGACUAAUUACCAAGUUUGCAUGCAAAAACAUGAGAAACAGGAGGAUCAACAUGAUAUUGCAAAGUCUUUCCUAAGUCAACGCAUAUCUAGGCCAAAGCUCAAACUACCAAAACCAGUGGGGGACCUAUUAACGAGCAAGGAGGUGCAACUGCACCUCCCCUCGUCGGAAAAACCAUUGUAGGUGCUUCAAAUUGCUCAUUUGCUCCGCUGGUAGUGGUGCACGGUUGCAUAGUGCACAGAUUACCUUAGUUCCAUUUUCAGCACUUAAGUAAAUGUCUCUGUCCUUUUACUUUCAUUUAUUUUUAUAUUACUCCAUUUACCUAAGUUUACAAUGUAAAUAAGGAAGUAACCCUCAUUUAGAUUCAAAUAAAAAUACUAGAAAAUCAAAUUCCCAUCAAAUCAAAAUAUGAAAAAUCGGUUUAGUGCAAAAUAUGAUUUAGGCUAAAAAUGAUAGCACAUUAAGUCAAUAUAUACUUCAUAAUAAAAUCCCAUAAAAUCAAGUUUUCUUAUUUGAUGUGUAAGGAAUAAAAGCCGCCAAAAAUGAUCUUAAGAAAAUGCAUGAAGGGACCAAAGGUCAAUCUAUGUAAAAAGCCUUAGAUGUUCCAUCCACAAAAGGUUUUUAGUCUUUCAAAAUUGCACAUCCGCUAAAAAAAUUCCUAAGUCCGCCAGUGACCAAAACCCCAAUUUCCCAUUAACUAGGAAAUCAAUAAAUGGACAAAUAAACAUUGAUAUUUGAGACCAUACCAUCUCUGGAGUUUGUUUCAGAAAAGAUCACAUGAAUCCCCGCAGAGCAGAAAGCCAGAAAGAGCAGCAACCGCAUGGUUGCCAUGGUGGUGAAGGAGCAAGCAAAUCAAGAAAACUGGUGUCUCUGUGAGGCUGAUCAGUUAGUCAGCAGAGGUCAAAAAAAGCACAUUUCUUACCCCAGAUGGUCAAAAAAGCACUUUGCGAAGACUUCCCUCCACGCAGACACACCCUUCAAUUCAAUUCCUUCCACUCUACCAACUACACCACUUGAAGAUUUUUAUUUAAUGAGUCCUUGACAGCAUGCAUGCAUGUAUGUACGUGCGCAUGUACAUGUUCCGACCAAUUCAGAGCAAGUUUUGCUUUGAAAGUUUUGCGGAUGUACAAACAUAGUUAAGCAGAAACAACUCUCUCAUGAGCAAAGCUAGCAUCUUUCGAAUGGGAACAAAGCCACACAAUUCUGAAUAUACGCCUGAAGUCUCCACUUUUUAAUCAAAUUUUAAUUAAUUAAUUAAGUUCCAAUUUCCAACUAAGUCAUUCAUUGGGUACAGUUGGCGAAAAUGGGUCCCAGAAGCUGACAUGAAAAUCAAGGCUCUCGGGCGUGGCCGCGACCUAUUCAUGAUUUGAUCCACUUUCAUGUUGAAUGGAUGAAAAGGUUUUCAUUUUCGUAAGAAAUGGAUAAAGACAAGAUGAUCGUUUUCACAAAACAAAAAUUUAAUUCGAACAGUCAAUUUCUAAAAACAACCAAGUUUAUUCUACAAAAGAAAGUAUAUUUUUUGUGCCAACGGGUCCAAGGUUAAUAAACAAACUAGCUACAAAUCGCCGUCUAGUCAUACCAAUAAGAACCUCAAUUGAAGUUUUACCAAUUUCAUAAAAAAUGUUAACUACAUGAAUCAAAGACUUAAUAUCCAGCAACUCAAUUAAUUAAGAACAUUUAAAUUUAAAACCUGAGAUUUUGUGUUAGAUUCUCCUCUUCCCAGAGGACACAUUGGGACACAUUGGGACAAAUUAUAAUAUCUUACAGCUUCUCCUAUUCCAGUUUCUGAAUUCAGUAUCCUUCCUUUCCUAGUGCCUUCAAUAGUGAGUUUGACCUAAUUACCUUUGAGAGGGCAAUCCCAAAGCUAAUAGAAUGUUAUGAAUCCUAUGAAACAAUUCAAUUGGGUAUCUCCUUAAAGUUGUAUCGAGGCAUUUUCAGAUAACAUCCAUACAACAUGAAAGGCCGAAGAUGACAUAUUUUAAAAAAUAAAAGAUUAAUGGAUUUAAUGUGGCUGUCGCUACUGUUGGAGUUAUGACUAUACAAUAAUACAAUGCCACGUAUGACAGGACAUAUUUGUCUGUAGGUUGGCUUCGUUUCUUGAGGGUUCACGCUUCAUUCAUGGCGUCGAAGACGAAAGACAGAGACUAGCAGAGAGAAUGUGUCAAUAUAAACGACACACACUGAAGGGGUAAGAUUUUUUGUCAAAUGAUCAAAACCACACAAUCUCAAUUAAGGGGUAUGGGAACAAGAAAUCUUGACUUUUUAAAACUUAGCCAGUUGGGCUGAGGCGUUAGUAUGCGGAACUUUUCAAAGCACGAUUUCAUGACAUUGGCUUGUUUGAUAGAAGAAGCUUCACCAAAUAAAAUCUGAUCACAUGUAAAGAAAGAACAAAUGGGAUAUCAAGGAGAGAGAAUGAUUCUCCAUUUUUACAAUAUUGACUUGACUUGGAUUGGAAGAACUUAGAUGAAGCUACACAGGCAUCCCAACUUUUGCACCAUUUUCCACAAGUCGGCCAAAAGCUCUCGUCUUGACUAUUCAAGUUUUGUAGUUUGAUGGGGAGGCUGACAGAAAGUAGCAUUUGAUGCACCAGAACUGUUGCUGCAAACCUGGUUCCCGAAAAGUCUGCAACGUGUAAAAGUGGCAACCAAGAGUGAUGGUGAGGGGAAAAUACACAAUUAUCAUAGAAAAUCAAGAUCAAGGCCCAUCAACUGUCUCACAUUAAUGUAUUUUUGUAUUCAUCACCCAGAGUUAUUCUGGAAAUCUGAUUGUUCUGCAGAUCAACAAGCUGCAGUUGUGGGUUGUGUUAUGUUUUCCUAUUUAGAUCGGUGCACCAAAUGCUAUGUUACAUCAGGUUUUGAUAAGAGUUUAAAUUAAGUUACACCUUGAGACUCAACACCUUGUGGAAUAAGGAAGGGUUUUGAAGCCUAUUAAGGGGUCCUAUUUAUUUCCUUUUAUGCGUGAACCGAUUUGGUGGGCUUGGAAGAUAAGUCAAGUCGGCCCUUUGUAAUGAGUAGAGACGACUUGACCUAGCCCUAUAUAACCUUAAGGCCAUGCUGUCAUCAGCCACACCAUUCUUGACAGGACCUUUAAGGACCCGCCCCGAAUUUUCUCAAAACCCGAGACGAACCCUUUGGAAUUCCUGACAUCACCCCGAUGCCAGGCCCACUUACUAAAAACCGAGACUUCCUGCCGAAAUUUCGGCAGAGUCUCCCCUAUAAAUUGGACAUUUCCCAAAAUUUCAACCUGCAUAAAAACACAUUUAAUAUUCCCAACUGGCAGCAUGCACAAUAUAAUUUCAUGCAAUUCACACAAAUGGCCUUCGGCCUUCCAAUAAAUCUCAACCAACUACCAAACCAUUCAAAUACAAUUUAUGACUAACAUUUAGUCUGCGGCUGCGCCUAAUAACCUUAGGCUGCCUACGUACCCUCUUUGAGGGAUCAAGCCACAUGUAGUUCUUCCCUAAGACUCAGUUCCACACUUGGGCGAUGCCUUAUUUCAUUUCUCGGUAUUUCAUGGAAUCUCCCCAUACGCCGGUACAACCAACGCCACGUAUGGGGCCUGUCAACACGCCGGAUAACCUACGCCACGUGCGACCAUGCCAUACUAUCAUAAUAUCUCCCCAUACGCCGGUACAACCAACGCCACGUAUGGGGUCUGUCUCAACGCCGGAUAACCUACGCCACGCGAGACCUGCACAUCAUAUCACAUAACUCCCCAUACGCCGGUACAACCAACGCCACGUAUGGGGCCUGUCCCAACGCCGGAUAACCUACGCCACGCGGGACCUCAAUAUCAUAUCACAAAGCUCCCCAUACGCCGGUACAACUAACGCCACGUAUGGGGUCUGUCGACACGCUGGAUAACCUAUGCCACGUGCGACCUCAACAUAAUAUCACAUAAUCUCCCCAUACGCCGGUACAACCAACGCCACGUAUGGGGCUUGUCUCAACGCCGGAUAACCUACGCCACGUGAGACCUGAACAUCAUAUUACAUAGCUCCCCAUACGUCGGUACAACCAACGCCACGUAUGGGGCCUGUCCCAAUGCCGGAUAACCUACGCCAAGCGGGACCUAACUUUCACUUGGUGGUACUUGUAGUGGAUCCAACAUCCGAGGAGGUACCUAAAGUAGUGCGUAUAGCACUCCAAACUGACACUUUAGACUCUGUUGUACCCUUGUACAACCAUAUAUAAUUAUAGUUAUAUAAAUUAAUUCUAAUAUUGUGUAACCCUCCACAAUCAUCUAGCACCCGAUAAUCCCCCCUAGAAAAGUGAGAUUACUCCGGGAGACUCACGAUCAACCAAGGGUCAAACUACUCUAACCCUGGUCAACCGGACCUGCAAAACCCACGACCUCCAAUUUUCGAUCCGAAAGUCCCUAUGGGUUCUACCAGGUAUAGGACACUUGUCCUGCAAGUUUGGUUCAGAUCGGACGGUCGGAUUGCUCACGAUCGCACGAUCUGACGGUUAAUAUAAAAUAUAAACUUAAAAUUAUUAUUCGGAACAUCCGGGGCUCCGAUUCACGAUCCGUGAAUUCCUACACGAUCCUAGAAAUACCUAGAUUAACAUAUAUUAAAUUUGAGACCAUCCGACGGUCCCAACCUAUCGAACUCGGAUAACGCAUAAUAUGCGAUUAUCAGUUCGAUAGUCAAACGACGUCCGAAUUGAGAUCCGCGAAAUCCUACGCACUCGUGACAACCUAAGGAUCUCAUCGGAACACAUCGCUACUUUUUCUACAGUGCCCACACGCCGCCGCACGCGCCGGCAGCGCGUGGGUGCCCAUAGCGAUAACGCUUCGCCAGAAAAUCUCAACAUCUCGGCUCCAAACUCCUACCCUAGGUAUAACACCCUAUUUGGAGCCACUUUUGUUCUUGGACCUACCCCAAAAAGUGGCCGAAAAUGGCCGAUCACGGCGGCCGAAGUUUUGGCCGAUUUUCAAUUCGAAAAUCGAGUGAUCUAGAGAUCGAAUCGAUCAAAACCCAACCAACAGGCAGCUAGAACAGCUUGAGAGGUUCAAAAUCCAUACCUGGGUCGACGGAAUUGGUGGCCGGAGGAGGGAGAUCGACGGCGUUGAAGUUUCGACGACUUCCCGGCGAUUUUCUGCAUUUUCCGGCCAGCACCGGCCGCGUCGCCGGCGGGGAACGGUCGGGGAAGGAAGGGGACGUCGUCCCGGUCAUUUUGGUACCGGCCCCGCCCACAGCCGUGGUCGGUGGCCGGAGAUACGAGGAGAGAAAGAGAGAGAGCUGACGGGAGAGAGAGAGAAGUCGCGGGAGAGAGAGAGAGAGAGAGAGAGAGAGAGAGAGAGAGAGAGAGAGAGAGAGAGAGAGAGAGAGAGAGAGAGAGAAAAACCAAAUUUUAUAAAAAAUCUCAUUUCAAAAUAUUUACGAUUAUGCCACUGGACUUCUUUUGACCAUAUCUCUCUCGUUACAACUCCGAUUCGAGCCCACUACGUGUCUGUGAACUCGUCUCAGUACGACCUAUUCAAAAAUAUUAGUCACGGUCCCAAACUCUCUCCGGUUAAAAAUAUGACUAAAAUACCCUUAAAUAAUUAAAUAAUUAAAUGAGGGUAAAAUUUGGGGAAAUUUGGGGUCGGGGUGUUACAGGACCCGAUCCAAAUUCCACUUUAGAAUUCGUGUCGGACCCCGUGCGUGUCCGACACCUGGCGAAUGUCGGGCACAAAAGACCUUUUUACCCUUCCAGUUACAACUAAGAUUUAAAAUUUUCCCUGGACUCCUACCGAAAAUUCGGUAGAGUCUGUCCUCUAAUUUGUCCAAACCCAAAAAUUUUCACUUGUCAAACAAGCAAAUAACUUUACACCCAAUUGCCAGAAUAAGUAAACAAGGUAUCCAACAGUUCUGGUUCUCAACUCUAACCAGAUAUCAGAGCAGUUACUAAUAUUUACAAGAAAUUAAGCGUUUUACAACAAAAUCCUACAUUUCGUAGGUGGCGCGGGAGCUAAGAGAACGCCCGGUGGUGGAUUCUUGUGCACGUCUACUGCCUGGGGCGCAAAACAUUUGAAAGUGUGAGUGGACAAAAAUAGAGUUCUCGAAACAAAUUAUGAACAUAAUAACCCCCACUGUAAAAACAAAUAUAUAUAAAAAAACUAGACUUUUUCCUAUUCACUAUAUUCAUAUUAAAAAUCAAAGCAUUCUCAUAUAUACAUAUGUAAAACAUGCUCAAUGUCGAGAAAACUCGCAUAAAAUUACUGUAAUCAAUAUUCGCAUAAAAGCACUGAAAUCCCUUUAAAACUACCACCUAGGUGUACCCCUGUAAUUCCGUCAAUUCCCCUGGCAGGUCUCGGCGACACACAGUCUAUCCGAGCCGCAAACUAGCAGGAUUCAGGGGACCGCAGUCAGCCUGAUCUGCUGGCAGGUCUCGGUGACACAAAGUCAACUCGAGCCGCAACUGGCAGGAUUCAGGGGCCCGUAGUCAGCCUGAUCCGCAAUCCUGGCAGGUCUCGGGACACCAAGUCAAUCCGAGCCGCAAAUCCUGGCAGGUCUCGGGACACCAAGUCAAUCCGAGCCGCAAAUCCUGGCACUCACGGUCCGGGCAUCCCCGAAAAUCGUGAGGCAAAUGUCAAGUGCACUGACAAAACUGAGGGUAAACUAGAUGUCUUUAGACAUCGGCAUAACUGAGGGUAAUAACCAUAGCUGGGUACCCACGGUGGUUUAAAAUAAAAUAUCUUUGAAAAGUCUAAUAAAUGGCUGAAGUUUGUUAAAUCUAAAACUAUGCUGCUAUUUUAUCUGAUAUAAACUCAAAUUCUGCUUUCUAUAACUCUUAGCAUAUUCAACUGAGUAGCACCAAAAAUAAGGAUAUUUCACUUCACAAUUCAUGCUAGGAAAAACAUAUUUAAUAAAACUUAUUCAAGAUCAAAUAAUGAAAUUCAUUUAGAUAAACUCAUUUAUAAAAGAAAAGUCCACUCACUUUUGGUUCGAGCUAGCUGGACCUCUUGAAGGUCCCUCCUGCGGGUCGGUUUGGCCCCGGGUGCCUGAUUAACCAUGAAUAUUAAAUUAAUAAAACUGCUCAAUAAAAAUAUCAAAUUAAAACCCUGACCCCCGGCUCCUAAACACACGUGCACUAACUUUGAGUCAUUCCUAUGCCCACUUUAGCAUUUUAGACGUUUAAAACGGUUUUAAAAGGCAUGAGGCCUUAGUAAGCGAUAAACUGCUAGACCGGUCGAUCCGAAACCCCGUGGGGUCCACGACCUCGAAUGGCCGAAUUGGACGGUUGGAUUGACCACAAUCGUGUGAUCGCUUAAUUUCCAAACCCUAGCCCCAGGGUUCGCGAUUUCGGAGUAUCCGGGACUCCGAUUUGCAAUUCGUUGAAUCCUACACGGUUCUGAAAUUAUGUAGAAUAACAUAUCCGAAUUUGAGUGCGAUCCAACGGCUCGACAGUAUUGAACCCGAAAAUCGCACAAUAUGAAAAAUCCGUUCGGGGCUCAAACGGUAUCCAAAUUGAGAUCCGCAAAAUCCUACGCGUUCGUGACAACACGAGGAUCGCAAAAAUACACAAGGUCACUGCACUACCCUUACCCACGCGCCGCCACACGCGACGGCAGAGGUGGGUGUCCAAAGCAAUAACGUCUCGUCGGAAAAACUCAACAAAAUCGAAGGAGAAUUGAAGGAGAACGAAGGGUUGGAUGUUUAGCCCAAAAUCGGUCGAAUUUCUCCUUUUUUCGGCUAGCUCCGGUCGGCUCGUGGGCGGAGAUCGGUCGGGAUGUGACGGCGAGGUCGAGGCGGUUCCGUUGGCACCGGCGCCGUGGCUCGGGGUGGCUUGUGGCGACGGCUGGAUUGAUCGGAAGGAGGGGCGGCUGGCUCGCGCGCGCGGGAGAGAGAGAGAGACAGGGAGGAGAGAGAAACUGAGGGGGAAGAGAGAGAGAAGGGAUAAAAAUCUGAUUUUUGUCCAAAUUACCAUUUUGCCCUUCACGGUAUUUUGAUCGUAUUUUCUUCGUUACAACUCCGAUUCGAGUCCACUCCGUGUCUAUGGACUCGUUUCGUCGUGCUCUACGCAACGGUGUAAGUGAAAUUGUCAAAUUACUUCUUGGUCAAAAAGUCAACUUUUUCCCCAAUAAAAUAUGGUGAGGGCAAAAUCGUCCUUUUCCCAAAAUAAAUUAAUAAUUAAUUAAGGAUUUUUGUUUUGGGUUGUUACAAUCUACCCCCCUUAAAAAAAAUUUCGUCCUCGAAAUUUACAUACCUGUUACUCGAAGAGGUAAGGAUACUGUUCCCGCAUUUGAUCCUUAGGUUCCCAUGUGGCCUCUUCCACAUUAUAACUCCUCCAUAAGACCUUCACAAGUGGAAUCUCCCUCGAACGCAAAACUUGCAUCUUCCGAUCUAAAAUCUGAACUGGUUGCUUGACAUAAGUCAAAUCUUCUUGUAACUCUAUCGGUUGUUCCUCCAACACAUGAGAAGGAUCAGAAAUGUAUCUCCGGAGCAUCGAGACAUGAAACACAUCGUGCAACCGGGAAAGAUCUGAAGGCAAGGCAAGUCUGUAAGCUACUGGGCCUACACGCUCCACAAUCUCGUAAGGUCCAAUAUAGCGAGGACUUAGUUUCCCUCGCCUUCCGAACCGCACUACGCCGUUCCAAGGUGAUAACUUCAGAAAUACCCAGUCACCAACCUCAAACUGGAGGUCUUUUCUUCUGUUGUCUGCAUAGCUCUUUUGUCUGUCCUGGGCCGUUUUGAGUCGUUCUCGAAUUAAUUUCACUUGUUCCUUCAUCCAUUCGACAUCAUCUGCCACUUCCAAUCUGUGUUCGCCUACUUCAUCCUAGUAGAAUAGAGUUCUACACUGUUUUCCGUAUAUGGCAUCAAAUGGGGACAUUCUGAUACUCGCCUGGUAGCUGUUAUUGUAGGCAAACUCCAUAAGUGGCAACUUCUCAUCCCAGUCAUCCCGAAACUGCAGUGCACAAGCUCUCAACAUAUCUUCUAAAGUCUGAAUCGUCCUCUCAGACUGACCGUCUGUCUGAUGAUGAAAGGCAGUGCUAAACUGCAACUGGGUUCCGAAUGCUUCAUUUAACUUUGUCCAAAAACGGGAAGUAAACCGUGGAUCUCUAUCAGAAGUAAUAGAUACUGGCACCCCAUGAAGUCUCACUAUCUCAUCUAUGAAGAGCUUCGCCAACUUAUUUAACGUGUAGCUUGCUCUUACCGGUAAGAAAUAGGCAGACUUCGUGAGUCGAUCCACAAUCACCCAAACUCCAUCAUGCUUAUUCUGUGUUCGAGGGAGCUUGAAUACGAAAUCCAUAGUCAGAUGCUCCCACUUCCAUUCAGGAAUUGGAAGUGGUUGUAACAGCCCUGAUGGUUUCUGCCGUUCCGCUUUCACCUGCUGACAAAUCAAGCACUUCCUGACAUAUUCUGCUAUCUCUUUCUUCAUGAAAGGCCACCAGUAGUGCUCUCUCAAAGUAUGGUACAUUUUAGUAUUUCCAGGGUGCAUUGCAAAGGCUGAACUGUGGGCUUCCUCGAGAAUUUCCCUCUUUAGAGCUUCAUCAUUAGGAACAUACAACCUGGUACCCACCAUUAGAGCUCCAUCAUUUCUAACUGAACAGUCAGUUCUGUCACCACUUUCCACCUCUGCUCGUAGGGUGCAAAUCAAGGGAUCCUGUGCUUGAGCGGCGAGUAUUCGUUCUAUUAGUACUGGUCUCACCUGGAGAGUAGCUAACAGUGCUCCCUGCUCAUCCACACCCAGCUCAACUCUGAGCUUUCUCAGUUCUAUCAUCAACAGUACGUAUCUCCCUCGGAGAUAAGCUACUGAGCCAGAAGAUUUCCUGCUGAGUGCAUCAGCUGCAACAUUAGCUCUCCCCGGAUGGUGCUCAAUGAUACAAUCAUAGUCCUUGAUCAACUCUAGCCAUCUUCUUUGCCUUAGAUUUAACUCCUUCUGAGUGAAUAAAUACUUUAAGCUCUUGUGAUCUAUAAAAAUCUGGCAUGUUGCUCCGUACAGGUAGUGCCGCCAAAUCUUCAAAGCAAACACCACUGCUGCCAACUCCAAAUCAUGAACAGGGUAAUUCAUCUUAUGCUUCUCUAGCUGUUUAGAAGCAUAAGCAAUAACCCGACCAUGUUACAUUAGCACACACCCAAGUCCCUGUUGGGAUGCAUCACUGUAGAUAACCAAGUUCCCACUAUCAUCUGGAAGUGUCAAAACCGGAGCAGUGGUUAACCUGGUUUUGAGUUCGUUGAAGCUUUUCUCACACUCAUCUGACCAUUCAAACUUAACUCCUUUUCUUGUCAAACGAGUGAGAGGCGCCUCUAUAGUAGAAAAGCCUUUCACGAAGCGACGAUAAUCCUGGCAGGUCUCGGGACACCAAGUCAAUCCGAGCCGCAAAUCCUGGCAGGUCUCGGGACACCAAGUCAAUCCGAGCCGCAAAUCCUGGCACUCACAGUCCGGGCGUCCCCGAAACUCGUGAGGCAAAUGUCAAGUGCACUGACAAAACUGAGGGUAAACUAGAUGUCCUUAGACAUCGGCAUAACUGAGGGUAAUAACCAUAGCUGGGUACUCACGGUGGUUUAAAAUAAAAUAUCUUUGAAAAGUCUAAUAAAUAGCUGAAGUUUGUUAAAUCUAAAACUAUGCUGCUAUUUUAUCUGAUAUAAACUCAAAUUCUGCUUUCUAUAACUCUUAGCAUAUUCAACUGAGCAGCACCAAAAAUAAGGAUAUUUCACUUCACAAUUCAUGCUAGGAAAAACAUAUUUAAUAAAACUUAUUCAAGAUCAAAUAAUGAAAUUCAUUUAGAUAAACUCAUUUAUAAAAAAAAAGUCCACUCACUUCUGGUCCGAGCUAGCAGGACCUCUUGAAGGUCCCUCCUGCGGGUCGGUCUGGCCCCGGGUGCCUGAUUAACCAUGAAUAUUAAAUUAAUAAAACUGCUCAAUAAAAAUAUCAAAUUAAAACCCUGACCCCCGGCUCCUAAACACACGUGCACUAACUUUGAGUCAUUCCUAUGCCCACUUUAGCAUUUUAGACGUUUAAAACAGUUUUAAAAGCCCUGAGGCCUCAGUAAGCGAUAAACUGCUAGACCGGUCGAUCCGGAAUCCCGUGGGGUCCACGACCUCCAAUGGCCGAUCUGGGAUUCCUUAAAGGUUCCUCACAGAGAAAUACCCAUAUCCUGCUAGUUUAGCCCGAAUUGGACGGUUGGAUCGACCACAAUCGUGUGAUCGCUUAAUUUCCAAACCCUAGCCCUAGGGUUCUCGAUUUCGGAGUAUCCGGGACUCCGAUUUGCAAUCCAUUGAAUCCUACACGGUUAUGAAAUUAUGUAGAAUAACAUACCCGAAUUUGAGUGCGAUCCAACGGCUCGACAGUAUUGAACCCGGGAAUCGCACAAUAUGAAAAAUCCGUUCGGGGCUCAAACGGUAUCCAAAUUGAGAUCCGCAAAAUCCUACGCGCUCGUGACAACACGAGGAUCGCAAAAAUACACAGGGUCACUGCACUACCCUCACCCACGCGCCGCCACACGCGCCGGCAGCGGUGGGUGUCCAAAGUGAUAAUGUCUCGCCGGAAAAACUCAAAACCACGGCUCCAAACUCCUAUCCUAGGUAAAACACCACAUUUGGAGCCACUUUUGUUCUUGGACAUACCCCAAAAACUGGCCGGAAACGGCCGAUCACGGAGGCCGAAACUCGGCCGAAUUUCAAAUCCAAAACUGGGCAAUCUACGGUUAAAAUUGAUGAAAACCUAUCCAACCAUCAGUUAGAGCACGAAAAAUAGGUGAGAAUCCAUACCUUACUCGAUAAAAUCGGAGGAGAAUUGAAGGAGAACGAAGGGUUGGAAGUUUAGCCCAAAACCGGUCGGAUUUCUCCUCUUUCCGGCCAGCUUCGGUCGGCUCGUGGGCGGAGAUUGGUCGGGAUGUGACGGCGAGGUCGAGGUGGUUCCGUUGGCACCGGCACCGUGGCUCGGUUGGAUUGAUCGGAAGGAGGGGGUCGGCUGGCUCGCGCGCGGGAGAGAGAGAGAGAGAGAGAGGGAGGAGAGAGAAACUGAAGGGGAAGAGAGAGAGAAUGGAUAAAAAUCUGAUUUUUGUCUAAAUUACCAUUUUGCUCUUCACGGUAUUUUGAUCGUAUUUUCUUCGUUACAACUCCAAUUCGAGUCCACUCCGGGCUCGUUUGGUACACAGGACUGUCUUGGCAUGAACUAUGCUUAGGGACUGGCUUGGCUUGGCUUGGCUUGGUCUAAGUUGGAUAACACUUAUCCUAUGUUUGGUGUAUGUUUGGACUAAGACUAGAAUUUUUUUAUUUUUUCAAAAAUAUCUAUAUAUAUGUAUAUAUGUAUUUUAUAAUAUAUAAAAUAUAUAUGUAUAUAUACAUACAUAUAAUAUAUGUACAUAUAGGUGUAGAUAUGUUUAUUAUAAUAUACAUGGGUAUAAUACAUAUACAUAUAUUUAUAUAUAUGUAUGUAUAUUAUAAUAUAUAAUAUAUAUAUAUGGGUAUGUUAUAAUAAUAAUAAUAAUAAUAAUAAUAAUAAUAAUAAUAAUAAUAAUAUACAUGUAUAUACGUGUAUAUACAUAUAUUAUAUAUGUAUGUAUAUAUACAUAUACAUUAUAUAUAUUAUAAAAUACAUAUGUAUAUAUAAUAUAUGUAUAAUAUAUGUAUAUAUAUUAUAUAUUAUAAUAUACAUAUAUAUACGUAUAUACAUGUAUAUAAUAUAUGUGUAUAUAUGUGUAUUUAUAUAUUAUAAUAUAUAUGGGUAUAAUACAUAUAUAUAUGUAUAUUAUAAUAUAUAUACAUAUAGUAUAAAUAUAUAAUGUAUAUGUGUAUAUACGUGUGUAUAUGUAUAUUAUAAUACAUACAUGGGUAUAAUAUAUAUACACAUAUAUGUAUAUAUACUUAUAUAUAUAUAUAUUACAUAUAUACAUGUAUGCUAUUAUUAUAAUAUUAAUAUGUAUGUGUAUAUGGGUAUAUUAUAAUAAUAAUAAUAAUAUACGUGUAUAUAUCUAUAUGUAUUUAUAUAUUAUAUAUGUAUAUAUGUGUAUAUAUACGUGUAUAUAUGUACAUUAAUAUGUAAUAUAAUAUAUAUUACAUAUAUACAUGUAUACAUGUAUGCUAUUAUUAUAAUAUUAAUAUGUAUGUGUAUAUGAGUAUAUUAUAAUAAUAAUAUAUGUGUAUAGAUCUAUAUGUAUUUAUAUAUAUUAUAUAUGUAUAUAUGUGUUUAUAUAUAUAUACAUGUAUAUAUGUACAUUAUAGUAUAUGUGUAUGUAAUAAUAAUAAUAAUAAUAAUAAUAAUAAUAAUAAUAGUAAUAUAUGUUAUUAGUAUUACAAUAUAAUAUAUGCAUCUUAUACAUUGGUGAACAUAGGACUAGCUAAUCCUCCCUUUCUACAUGGGCUUAGUAGUCCCCUCCUAAUGAGGUGUUUUUAGUGGGCCCGGUAUUAACAAUCCCAUCUAAGACUAGAAUUAAAUGAAACAAACAUGGUACUAAAUUUAGUCCAAGCCAGUCCAAGCCAAGACUGUGUACCAAACGACCCCUCCGUGUCUACGGACUCGUUUCGUCGUGCUCUACGCAACGGUAUAAGUGGAAUUAUCAAAUUCAUUCUCAGUCAAAAAGUCAACUUUUUCCUAAUAAAAUAUGGUGAGGGCAAAAUCGUCUUUUUCCCAAAAUAAAUUAAUAAUUAAUUAAGGAUUUUUGUUUUGAGUUGUUACAAUUCUGUUGUUCAUGCAUAAAUGUGUGAAGAGUAUCGGUCAAAGAUAGCAUAGCAGUGAAUGCUUCCAGGGUCUUUGUGCACAAUCAAAAGAAAGCAUCAAGUGAAGAAAAAGGCAUUUUUAACUGAACAUGUGAGUGCAUUGUUACAAUAUAAAAUUCCUCCAAAAUAUAAAGACCCUGGAAGUCCAACUCUUUCGUGUGUAAUUGGAAAUAAUUUUAUUGAUCGUGCAUUACUUGAUUUGGGCUCCAUUGUAAAUUUAUUGCCUUAUUCAGUGUACUUGCAGCUAGGUCUUGGUGAGCUUAAACCUACAAAGGUAAAAUUGCAAUUGGCUGAUCAAUCAGUAAGGACACCGCGAGGGAUUACUGAAGAUGUGUUGGUCUAAGUGGACAAAUUUUAUUAUCUUGUUGAUUUUAUUGUUUUGGACACUGCACACGUUUCAAAUUCUGAUAAUUAAAUUCCUGUGAUUUUAGGACGUCCUUUCUUGGCUACGUAUGACAGGACCCGAUCCAAAUUCCGCUUUGGAAUUCGAGUCGAACCCUUUGCGUGUCCGACACUUGGCGAAUGUCUGGCACAAUUGACCUAUUUGCCCUUCUAAUUAAAACUUAUUUUAAUUUUAGCCUUGACUCCUACCGAAAUUUAGGCGGAGUCUCCCCUGUAAUUUGCUCAAUCUCAAAAUCUACACCUGUCAAAACGAGCAUAAAUAUUUACACAACCAAUUGACAGCAUUUUUAAAGAUACAAUUCACAGUCCAGUUCUCAAUCUAGGAAAAAUAUCAGAGCAAUUCUAAUAGUUUACAGAUGAGUUAAUCCUUUUACAAAACAAAACUUCUGUAACAAAUGAGAAGCGCAGAAGAUGGAAAAAUGGCUGGGUGGUGGAUUCCUGUGCACGUCUACAGCCUGGAGGCGCAAAACAUUCAAUAAAUGUGAGUGGACAAAAAAUAAAAGUUCAAACAAUAGCAUUAGAAUAUACUAACCCCCACUGUGAAAAUUGUUAAGUAAAACUGAAUAUUUAAACUGCAUUUGAAUUAUUCUAAAUCAAGGCAUUCACAUAUUUAUAUACAUAUAUGCAAAUCAUAUUCAAGAUCAAUAAAACUCGCAUGAAAGCACUGUAAUCAAUUUAAAACUACCACCUAGGUGUACCCUUUUUAUUCCGUCAAUUCCUGUAUCCGUCAAUUCCUCUGGCAGGUCUCGGUGACACAAAGUCAACUCGAGCCGCAAACUAGCAGGAUUCAGGGGACCGUAGUCAGCCUGAUCCGCAAUCCUGGCUUUCAUGGUCCCGGCGUCCCCGAAACUCGUGAGGCAAAUGUCAAGUGCACUGACAAAACUGAAGGUAAACUGGAUGUCUGUAGACAUCGUCAUAUCUGAAGGCAACAGAUACUGAAAGCAAACUGUUUCUGUAUUGGGUACCCACGGUAGUUUAAGAAAAUAUAAAACUUCAGAGAAAAUAUAAUAUAUAAAUAUAAUAAUAUUUCUGAAAGAUCUGAUGAAUAACUGAAUCUUUAUUCAAUCUAGAACUCUGCUGUCAUUUUAUCUGAUAUAAGCUCAAUCUCUGCUUUCUAUAACUCUUUAGCAAUUUAACUAGGUAACAAAUAAAUAAAGAUAUUUAAAUUCAACAAAACAUGCUAGGAACAAUCAUAAUCAAUAAACUUUAUCCAAGAUCAAAUAAUGGAUUUUAUUUGCAUAAAAUCAUUUAUAAAAGAAAAGUUCACUCACUCCUGGUCUGAGCUAACUAGACCUUCUGAAGGUCCCUCUUGCGGGUCUGCCUUUCCGGGUGCCUGGGUCGACGGAAAUGGUGGCCGGAGGAGGGAGAUCGGCGGCUGUGAAGAUCGGGUGACGUCGGCCGCUUCUUCUCCAAAUUCUGGCGAAAUCGCGGCGGCUGGAGGUGGGAUGUGGCUGGGGUUGGAAGAGGACGUCGUCCCGGUUAUUUUGGUACCGGCCUCGUCCACAGCCGUGGCCGGUGGCCGGAGUUGCGAAGGAGAGAAGGUGACGGUGCUAAAGGGAGGAAGAGAGGUCGCACCAGGAGAGAGAGAGAGAGAGAGAGAGAGAGAGAGAGAGAGAGAGAGAGAGAGAGAGAGAGAGAGAGAGAGAGAGAGAGAGAGAGAUGAUUUUAUAAAAUCCCUUUUCGAAAUAUUUACGAUUGUGCCACUGAGUUUCUUUUGAUCAUAACUCUCUCGUUACAACUUCGAUUCGGGCCCACUACGUGUCUAUGAACUCCUUUCACCGUGCUCUACGCAACGGUGUCUGUAGAAUUGUCAAAUUCCUUUCCGGUCAAAAAGUCAACUUUUCCUUAAUAAAAUAUUGCAAGGGCAAAAUUGUCUUUCCCCAAAAUAAAUUAUUGAUUAAAAAUAAAUUUUAGGUUUGGGUAAUUACAACGUAUGCUAACAUGAAUUGCAGAAGUGGAGUCAUGAAACGUUGUUUUGGAAAUAUGACUAUGAAAGUUAAUGUUUGUAUUGUUUAUAAACAGUCAUCUGGGGAGGAAGAUGAACCUGAAUCUGUGAAUUCUAUCUCAACUUUAUCGCAUGAUCAAUUUGCGAAAAGUAGUGUUGUUUCUUGUUCAGAAAAGUUUCAAAUUAAUUCUGACGGUUCUAAUUUAACAAGAAAUUCACAAAUGACUGAACUUGGUUCAUUAUUUGAUUCUUUACAGGUACAGGAAGGGAUUGGCUGGAAACCCAAAAUUGACAAACUUCCACCUUUAUAUGAUGAGCCUAUGAUGUCAAGUGUAAAUAAGGCUACAGGUUUUGUGUUUUGUGUACUUCUUAUUUCUACAGGUUUCAUAACGAUUUAUUUGAAGGUGGAUAAGAACUUAAAGAUGCGUCUUGGACACCUGGUGCAAAAAUUCCAACUCUUCUUUUAAACCUUGAAUCUACCUCCACCCUUGAUCAUGCCACUAUUGGCCCAUUAAUCAAGAUAUUGGAUUUAUCCAAUGCCUAAAAACAAGAAAAGUAAAAUGAAAUCCUGCCAAUUUCAUGAAACUCAGUAAUUUAUUAAGAUGAAUUAAAGGGUGCAUUACUCGGAUAUUUCGGAGCUUCUUUUGUAUUAUAGUUGCAUUCUCCAUAGUUAUUAGCAUUUUCAGAGGACCAGGGUGGAAGAAAGUUGACAAAUAUCAUAGGUGAGGGCACACUGCCAGCCUCAGCAGUAGAAUAGAUGCCGUGACUUCUUUCAGCCGCAUUACUACUCUUACGUAGAUAACACAGAUUCCUAGCAUAAUUCCUCUUCACGAGGCACAAGGUCCACUUUUAAAAGAAUUUUAACACGAAAUCACUGCCUUUAUCAAUAAAUGUCAUGCAUUUCAGUAAUCUGGAAGUUAAGUGAUGAAUCAUCUACAGGCCUAUUUCUCUACAACUAAUUAAUCAAUCAAUUGGGGAAAUUAAAGAAUUUUAUGAAGGAAAGGCUACUUUUAUUCAAAAAAACUCGAAAGGAUUGUCAACCGUUGAUGUGUGCAUGGAUGGUCGAGAAAACCAUUUUCAUUGUAUAUACAAUAUUCUUUAAAUAAACCAAACAAACAGAAUCCAGAUGGUAAAAUUUGGGAAAAGCAGUGAUCAUGGUACAAAACACUCAAAAGUAAUAAAAUUUUGGAUGCCAUCUUUCAGGUCUUGCUAAAACUUCCUUGCAUCUAAUCCAAAAAAUAAAAUUAAAAAUAAAAAAAAACUUUGAAGCAUUCGAGUUUGAGGCCCCUAGGAACAUUGUAACGUAACACACUAAAUUUAUAUUUGGCAAUCGAAAUGAAAGUCCACUAUAUAUUCUUUUCCUGUAUCUACUUACAUAUAUUGGUAGAGAAGAGAAGGUACAAUUACAAAACAAGAAAUUAACUCCGCUGCAGGCCUUUGCUACUACUUGGGUUUAAUCUUCGCCGAAACUGCGUAUCCACCACUGUAAUCAAAGGCACGAGUGCUGUCAUUCACUUCCUUUUUUGGCAAGCCAUCGUUGUACGGAUGCUUAGGAGCUCCUUUUGAUGCUGCAAAUUCUGUGGCUGAUAAAGAUGCUGAUGUUGAGUUUGUGUUCAUGCCAUCAUUCUGCAGAAUGGUUUCAAUAGCCUUCACAAGCUCACUCAUUGUGGGGCGGUCUGCAGCUGAUUCUUCAACGCAUUGCAGGGCCAGCUCCAGGAACCUCCCAAACCCAGUAAGAGUUCCAGAAUUUCGAAUGCUUCGAUCCAUUAACUCCCUCAAACCAUAGUGUUCUUCAUCAUUCUUGUCCAUCAUCAAUCGUACCUCGCGGACGAUGUAUUUUCCCUUCUCAAUAGGCUGCCUAGCCGUUAUCAAUUCAAGCAUCACCACUCCAAAGCUGUAUACAUCACUCUUCUCAGUUAACUGUUGAGUCAUGUAGUAUUCAGGAUCAAGAUAUCCCUGCAAGAACAAAACAGAAACUUAAAGAGUAAAAACUCAAGAAUGUGUCAAUGGGAUGAAUAUAUGUUGAAAUGCUAAUAACGUAAAGCUUACCAGUGUGCCUUUGACCUGAGUUGAGACAUGCCCUUUUCCACUGUCAGCUACCAGCUUGGACAAGCCGAAAUCUGCAACCUUCGCGGUUAAAUGUUCAUCUAAUAGAAUGUUGGUGGACUUGACAUCUCUGUGAAUUAUAGGAGGAUUUGCAAGCUCAUGUAGGUAAGCUAGUCCUCUUGCCGAGCCAAGGGUGAUGCGGAGUCUCCUUUUCCAAUCAAGAUGAAUACCAGAUCUCCCUGCAAUUCAUAUUUAAGCAAAGGUGAAGUUGGUAACUAUGUCUAUUGCAAACAAGUUAUCUCUAUGCAAUAUGAAAUAGCUGAGAGUAAAAUCUUUGAACUAACCUGACAAGCUUUCCUUGAGUGUUCCAUUAGGCAUUAACUCAUAAACCAGCAUCUGUUCUCCUUGUUCAAAACAAAAUCCCAAAAGGCAAACAACAUUUUUGUGAUGAACUCGCGAGAGCAACUCGAUUUCAGUCUUGAACUCAAGGCCACCCUGCAUUGAUCCUUGCUGAGCUCUUUUGAUUGCCACCACUUGUCCAUCAGAAAGCAUGCCCCUGUAAACCUAUGGACAACCAACCAAAAGGUGAAAAAAAAAACAUCCUUUAACUUGAAGCAGAAUUUCAUAGAUGUUACUGAAAUACUUGCAUUAAUAUACCUUCCCGUAUCCACCAGAUCCUAUCUCAUUACUGUCAGAGAAAUUAUUUGUGCAUUUCUUAAGCUCAUCAAAAGAAAAACAUCUUGCUCCCUUUAACUGUGGUGCACCACCACUGUCUUUUCCGCUUGGUGCCCAAGAAGCUAGAAGAUAGAGAAAAGGAGUGAUAUAAGCAAACCAACUUCUAAUGUCAAUGAAAGAAUUUCAAUGUACCCAAUCAUAAACAACAAGAAUAAUUAAUUACCAAAAGGUCGGCUUAAUCCAAUGGCUCUUUCUGCACGUUUCUUUUGCCUAAUGGCAUAUAUUCCCACUACCACGAGGCCCAGUACAAGAACUACACAACAAACUGAUAUCCCAAUAAUAACACCAGUGCUCAUAGAACUUUUAUUCCCACCUGAAACAAUUUUGGGUUUUUAUUUUCAGUUUAAUCAAGCUUCUAAUGCAGGGAAAUGGCAUGCGAAGUAACAAUGUGAUUUAAAUUACCUGGGAAAGUAUAAGGAGCUGGAAUAAAAUAAUAGGGUCCAAACUCCUCCGGUGGCUUGUAAGUUUGGUUGCUCAAAUCAAAACCAAUCCUUAUAAUCUCUGACCUAUUAAAAUAUAUUCCUGUAGGUGGAAAGAGUGCCAGAUGAAUUUGAAGAUAGUCAUUAAUGUCAAAGAAAGGGUUUUCAAGAGAAACGGAACCAGGAGUGAGGCCAAGUUUAUCCCAUAGACUCAUUUCUAGUGAGUGAAACGUAUUCACAUUUGACAAUUCCCUGAAAGAGGGUGCUCUGAAAUACAAUGUUCCUUCAAAAGGAUAUGCACAUUGACAACUCUGAGGGCUGAGCUUCUGAUUAUCGGGGCAUGUAAUGCAUGCACAAUUUGAGCUAGUAGUAUACGUUUCUGCAUCUUGUUGCGGAAGCUGACAGAAUGAAUUUGAGCUAGUUCCAUUGGUGCAAACUGGGUUCCCUACAAGUCUGCAAUAUUUAAAAAUGACAACUAAGAAUGGUGUUGAUAAAUACACAACCAUAGAAAAUCAAGAUCAAGGCCCAUGAACUGUCUCACAAUAAUGUAUGUUUGUAUUCAGAAGGCGGAUUUAUUUUAGGAAUCUGAUUGUUCUGCAGAUCAACAAGCUGCAGUUGUGGACUGAUGCUAUCACCAAAGUUCAAUGUAUCGUUAAAUGAAUUGUUUUUCAGUUUCCUGUCAAGGGUUAGAAAAAAACAUGAAUGGAAAGUUUCCUAAAAUUACAGUCAAAACUUGAUGCUUUCUUCAGUAUUCUCCUUAAACUUACACUUGCUGCAAUGUUGGGAUGUUGAACAUCUUCUCUGGCACAGUCCCUUCAAGUGCUCCAAAUUCUAAAACGCUGUGUUACAUAAAAGUAGAGAAUUUCAACAAAAAAUUACAACAAAGUUUUCAGGGUGUACUUUUCCAAGACUCAUUCAUAGAUACUAAGACAUUUUUGUGUAACCUCCUAAGGACUUACAUAGUGGUGAUUGAGGUUAAGUUUGAGAACCAACGUGGAGCUUCUGAUGGGUCAAAUGAGUUGUUACUCAGGUCUCUGGAGUAAAAUCAUUAGGAUUUAUCAGUACAACAAAAGAACAACUUGCAGGAAACUUGAAACUUGAAAUGACAGCUCCAUGCCAUCUUACUCACACAGUAUGGAGGGACCUCAUUCCAGUUAAGUCAGGUAAAGGGCCUGUCAAUUUGUUGUGAGCCAAAUUUCUGGAAGAGAACAAAAACUCAUGUAAAAGAUGAUUAAGAAUAAUUAAGGUAACUGUUAACAGCACAUUAGAAUAGCCUCUUAGAGACUUGAUACUCACAGUUCACUGACAUGUUUUAGGUUGCUGAUAUGUGAGGGGACAUUUCCUGUUAGAGCAUUUCUAUCAAGCCGACUGUUGCAAACAAGAAGGUUUUGAAUCCAAUAAGUAUCAAGAAGCAGAUACUUAUAUGUGAAAGAAUAACAAAAUGGAGCUGUUUUUGUACUCACAGAACCUCAAGAGUCUGAACGAGUGCUAUGGUUGAUGGAAUCUCCCCAAUAAAUUGAUUUCCAUCAAACAAACUGCAGUUGAAGAAUGACAAGCAGUUAGAUAAAUAUAAGUACAGAACAUAAACUGAUAGAUGGCAUCUGGCUAAAUUAAAAAAAUGAUCGAAGGGAUCAACUUACAUGUGUAUCAGUUUCAUCUCAGAGCUGAAAAGUUUGGGAUGAAUGGUACCUGAAAGCUGGUUCUUGCUGAAAUGGCUGCAUGUCCAUAUUAUCAGUUUAAUGUUUAUGCAAUAAGCAAUGGCAUAAUCCCUAUUAGAAUUUCAUCUUUUCACAAUGAAGAGAGUUUGGGAAAUGGAAAAAUACUCACAAGUGUUCAGCCUUCAAUAGUUUGUCUAAGCCUGAGGUAACGGGGGUUGAAAUUGGUAGAGUUCCAGUCAACUGAUUGUCUACCAGGUCCAACCAGAUAAGAUUGGAGAGGUUACCCAAAGAAGCAGGUAUUUGACCAGUAAAUUUAUUUGUAUUCAGAGCCCUGAAAAGAACAAAAGAUUUAUAUAAAAUUGGGAAAGAAAAAACUUAAAAUGGUUUGCACUAACAGUAUGAUUAUCAAUUCAAUUCUUACAAGAAAGUUAGCUCUCCAAGAUUGCCCAAUUCCUCUGGAAUAUUGCCACUGAAGCCGCAGCCAGCUAGGAUCCUAAAAGAUGAAAAGAGUCUUGUAUACUUAUCCAAUAUAAAAACUUAUAUUGCAUAUACAAAGUUCAAAAGGUGCAAAUAUGAAAAUUGCUUGCUAAUUUGUUCUUACAGGAUAUUUAACUUGCUCAGAUCUCCUAAUCAUGGAGACGGAGAACCCGUGAGGCCUUUGUUGGAUGAAAGGUCCCUGCAAUGUUAACGUUUCUACUUCGUUACAAAAAGGAAGCCAUGCUAAUCAAAGAUUGAGUGAUAACAAAAUAAUUGAUACUGCAAAAGAAAUAUGUUUUAUGCAUAUGUUUACAUACUGAAUCUACUGCAUUGCAUCUGGGUUCAAUUCAUAAUGUGCUGCAAACAUAAUGCUGGUACAAAGAGGAGCAAUUAUACUCACAAGGAUAUUAAUUCAGAGAGUCCCCCGAUAUCGCCUUCAAUUUGUCCUUUCAAGUCCAUUGCUGAUAAUCUCCUGCACAUAAAAAAGUGCAAGGUUGAAAAUUUGUGUAAGAAAGUAAGUCACCAAUGCCCAGAACUACAAGGAUCCCGUGAAAAUUCAAAGAUGAACAAUGCUCACAAUGCGGUCACCCUCGAAUUGUGGCAGGUGACUCCUUCCCAGUUCAUUCCACAGGGAUCAUUUGACUUGUCGUUCCAGCUGGGUGGAAGAUUCGUCCAUGCCCCCUUCAAGGAUAUGAAAACAGCAGCUGGACCAACAGACUUACAAAUCAAUCUACUACCUCAACACAAAGUUUGUACACACAUAUGUGCAGGAUGUUCAACUUACAAUCAAAAUUUAGCCAAAACAUUAAGAAAAGCUUGCAUUAAACACAAUCUAAAUGGACUAAUUACCAAGUUUGCAUGCAAAAACAUGAGAAACAGGAGGAUCAACAUGAUAUUGCAAAGUCUUUCCUAAGUCAACGCAUAUCAAGGCCAAAGCACAAACUACCAAAACCAGUUGGGGACCUAUUAAGGCGCGAGGAGGUGCAACUGCACAUCCCCUCGUCCGAAAAACCAUUGUAGGUGCUUCAAAUUGCCCAUUUGCUCAGCCAGUAGUGGUGCACAGUUGCAUAGUGCACAGAUUACUUGAUUUCCAUUUUCAGCACUUAAGUAAAUGUUUUUCUCCUUUUACUUUCAUUUAUUUUUAUAUUACUCCAUUUACCUAAGUUUACAAUGUAAAUAAGGAAGUACCCCUCAUUUAGAUUCAAAUAAAAAUACUAGAAAAUCAAAUUCCCAUCAAAUCAAAAUAUGGAAAAUCGGUUUUGUGCAAAAUAUGAUUUAGGCUAAAAAUGAUAGCACAUUAAGUCAAUAUAUACUUUAUAAUAAAAUCACAUAAAAUCAAGUUUUCUUAUUUGAUGUGUAAGGAAUACAAGCUGCCAAAAAUGAUCUUAAGAAAAUGCAUGAAGGGACCUAAGGUCAAUCUAUGUAAAAAACCUUAGAUGUUCAAUCCACAAAGGGUUUUUUAGUCUUUCAAAAUUGCACCUCAGCUAAAAAAUUCCUAGGUCCGCCGGUGACCAAAACCCCAAUUUCCCAUUAACUAGGAAAUCAAUAAAUGGACAAAUAAACAUUGAUAUUUGAGACCAUACCAUCUCUGGAGUUUGUUUCAGAAAAGAUCACAUGAAUCCCAGCAGAGCAGAAAGCCAGAAAGAGCAGCAACCCCAUGGUUGCCAUGGUGGUGAAGGAGCAAGCAAAUCAAGAAAACUGGUGUCUCUGUGAGGCUGAUCAGUUAGUCAGCAGAGGUCAAAAAAAGCACAUUUCUUACCCCAGAUGGUCAAAAAAGCACUUUGCGAAGACUUCCCUCCACGCAGACACACCCUUCAAUUCAAUUCCUUCCACUCUACCAACUACACCACUUGAAGAUUUUUAUUUAAUGAGUCCUUGACAGCAUGCAUGCAUGUAUGUACAUGUUCCGACCAAUUUAGAGCAAGUUUUGCUUUGAAAGUUUUGCGGAUGUACAAACAUAGUUAAGCAGAAACAACUCUCUCAUGAGCAAAGCUAGCAUCUUUCGAAUGGGAACGAAGCUACACAAUUCUGAAUAUACGCCUAAAGUCUCCACUUGCAUUGAUAUAAGAGAGAAUUCAACUAAGUCAUUCAAUGGGUACAUUCGGCUUUAGGCGACAAUGGGUCCCAGAAGCUGACAUGAAAAUCAAGGCUCUCGGGGGUGCCCGGAACGUAUUCAUGAUUUGAUCCACUUUCAUGUUGAAUGCAUGAAAAGGUUUUCAUUUUCGUAAGAAAUGGAUAAAGACAAGACGAUCGUUUUCACAAAACAAAAAUCGAAUUCAAACAGUCAAUUUCUAUGGUGCGAAGGGGUCAAAGGUUAUUCUACAAAGGAUAAAAGUAUAUUUUUUGUGCCAAGGGGUCAAAGGUUAAUAAACAAACUAGCCACAAAUCGCCGUCUAGCCAUACCAAUAAGAACCUCAAUUGAAGUUUUACCAAUUCCAUAAAAAAUGUGAGCUACAUGAAUCAAAGACUUAAUAUCUGACAACUCAAUUGAUUAAGAGCAUUUAGAUUUAAACCCGAGAUUUUGUGUUAGAUUCUCCUCUUCCCAGAGGACACAUUGGGACAAAUUCUACUUCAGUUUGGAUGGAAAAGAAUCCUUUGUAUCCCAAAGCAAACGUAGCCUGGCCUACAUCUGGCACACCUAAAAUUAUAGUAGCAAAACCAACCAUGAACAAUAAUUAUGAUAUCUUACAGCUUCUCCUAUUCCAGUUUCUGAAUUCAGUAUCCUUCCUUUCCUAGUGCCUUCAAUAGUGAGUUUGACCUAAUUACCUUUGAGAGGGCAAUCCCAAAGCUAAUGGAAUGUUAUGAAUCCUAUGAAACAAUUCAAUUGAGUAUCUCCUUAAGUUGUAUCGAGGAAUUUUCAGAUAAAAUUUUACACAUUAAUUCAGCCCGUGUGACAAGUUGAAGAUAACAUCCAUACAACAUGAAAGGCCGAAGAUGACAUAUUUAAAAAAAAAUAUAUUAAAAAAUAAAAGAUUAAUGGAUUUAAUGUGGCUGUCGCUACUGUUGGAGUUAUGACUAAUACAAUGCCAUGUAUGAUCGGGACAUAUUUGUAUGUGCGUUGAAGACGAAAGACAGACUAGCGGAGUGAAGGGGUAAGAUUUUUUGUCAAAUGAUCAAAACCACACAAUCUCAAUUAAUUAUAGAAGCACGAGUUCAUGACAUUGGCUUGUUUGAUAGAAGAAGCUUCACCAAUUAAAAUGUGAUCACAUGUAAAGAAAGAACAAAUGGGAUAUCAAGGAGAGAGAAUGAUUAUCAAUUUGUACAAUAUUGACUUGCCUUGGAUUGGAAGAACUUAGAUGAAGCUACACAGGCAUCCCCACUUUUGCACCAUUUUCCACAAAGCUCUCAUCUUGACCAUUGAAGAUUUUGUAGUUUGAUGCACCAGAACUGCUGUUGCAAACCGGGUUCCCGAAAAGUCUGUAAAAGUGACAACCAAGAGCGAUGGUGAGGGGAAAAUACACAAUUAUCAUAGGAAAUCAAGAUCAAGGCCCAUCAACUUUCUCACAUUAAUGUAUUUUUGUAUUCAUAACCCACAGUUAUUCUGGAAAUCUGAUUGUUCUGCAGAUCAACAAGCUGCAGUUGUGGGUUGUGUUAUGUUUUCCUAUUUAUAUCGGUGCACCAGAUGCUAUGUUACAUCAGGUUUUUAUAAGAGUUUAAAUUAAGUUGCGUGAACCGAUUUGGUGGGUUUGGAAGAUAAGUCAAGUCGGCCCUUGGUAAUGAGUAGAGACGACUUGACCUAGCCCUAUAUAACCUUAAGGCCAUGCUCUCAUCAGACACGUUCUCUAACCUAUUCUCAUCAUAAAGAGAGAGCUGAAACUAGUGCCGAAGCCAGGAUUUUAUGUGUGUGGGGGCAUCUUACAAAUUAUAAAGAAUCAAAAAUUCAAACUCACAAUAUAUUUGAAAAAUAGUGUAUAUAUAUCACAUGUCAAGAAUUAUAUUGCUUAUUGGUUGCAAUCAUAAUUGUUCUCGACAAAGGGAUAGACAAAUACAUUCUAAGCAAGAAAAAUUGCAAGAGAUAGACAAAGAGUAGCGAUUUAGCAAAUAUCUUUAAAGCUUUUUCCCCCAUUAAACCCAAUAGAAAGAAAAAAAAAUAAAAAAUGCACAAAAUAAAAAAAACCUCAAGUCCCUUCGUGUAUUCAUAUCAUACAUGAAAAAAUAUUGACUAAGUAUGAAAAAUGAUUUUUCGGAAUAAUCAUUUUCUGAAGAUAAUUUUUGGCCGCUUUUAUUCCUUACACAUCAAAUAAGAAAACUUGAUUUUAGUGUGAAGUAUAUAUUGACUUAAUGAGCCAUCAUUUUUAGCCUAAAUCGUAUUUUACACUAAACCGAUUUUUCAUAUUUUGAUUUGGUGGGAAUUUGAUUUUCUAGUAUUUUUAUUUGAAUCCAAAUAAGGGGUACUUCCUUAUUUACAUUGCAAACUUAAGUAAUUGGAGUAAUAUAAAAAUAAAUUAAAGUAAAAGGACAAAGACAUUCACUUAAGUGUUGAAAAUGGAAAUAAGGUAAUCUGUACACCUGGAGUGCACCGCCACCAGCUGAGCAAUGGGGCAAUUUGAAGUAUCUCCUUGUACCUUAAGAGAUCCGCCACAACAAAUAUGGGUACAUAUCAAAAUGUGAAGUAUUUUAAAUAAUAUACAUAUAGAAAUACAUAACAGUAUAUUAUCUUUAAAAUAUAAAAAAAACUUGAGUAGGGGCUCGGGACCACAUUGGUCCCAGUGUCGCUCCGCCCUGGCUGAAACAGAUUCUGAGAGAGAGCAGAAGUCUUGAGCCGUUCCUGUUCUUGCUAGGAUUGCUGCUGCUACAGAUUGGAUGAGUUCAGAGGUUGUGUACUCUAAGAAGAUGGCUCCAGGUAUGUCUUCGUGUCUCUACGUAUUUCAGAUUGUGUGAAAGAUCUUGAAUAUGUAUAUCAAGAAUAUUGAAGAAUCUGGAAAAACAUGUUUUUGAUUUGGUUUUCAUAUUUUCAAAACUUGAAACAUGUUUUUGACCUAUCAGAUGACCUUAAAACCCUAAAAAUGCCUUGUGUUAAUUAGGUCAUUCCCUAUUCAUAAAGGUAUUUUGCGUGAAAAAUGGACACCAAAAACGUCUAAAACACUGUUCAUGGUAGUUUUUUUGUUUUUGGUUUUGUUUUUUUUCUAUUCAGUACAAUUUAGAUAGAUAUUUAUUUUUGCUCUGAGAAUCAACCAACUUUUCAUAACAAAACCAAACCCAAAUACUCAAAUCCUAAAGAAAUAACCAAAAAUUGCAUCAUACCUAAAUUGCUUGGUAAGUUUCUUCAACAAAUAGAAUUUAUUAAGUAAUUUAUUUGUGAUGGCACAUGAUAACAUGUAAUCUGUGUAAGCUAUAAGUAAUCUCUUACCACAAAUGUGUGAUACUUAAUUAAGGAAGCUUGCAUGUAUUAUUUGUUAGUUUUGUGAAUAAGUAAAACGGAAAACUACUUUCUCUUAACAAAUUGAGAAUCGGUUUUAUUGGAAAGUAUUCAUACUUUUCUCUUGCAAAUCCUUACAGCUUUGAACAUUCCCUCAAUAAAUUUCUCGCAAAUUGAAACUCUCACUGGAUUGAAUUUCAAACGAUGGAAGUUCGAUCUUGAUGUUGCACUAGGCAUGAGUGAUAUCGAUUAUGCUAUCACUCAAGACGAGCCGACCAGACCUGUUGCGAAUUCCCCUGCUGAAGUUAAGAGGGUGCAUAAAGCUUGGAGGAUGGCAAAUAAGGUUUGUCUGCUGGUUAUGAAGAAGACUAUGACGGAAGCCAUUUUUGGUGGAGUUCCAGAAACUGAAAGUGCCAAGCAGUUUAUGGAAUCCAUUGAGACGAAAUUUAAGGAAUCUGGCAAGGCUGAAACGGAGAACCUCAUGUCUAGGCUGGCUAAUAUGAAGUAUGAAGGAGGAGGCAGCGUAAGAGAACAUCUCAUGGGACUCAUGGAUAUUGCUACCAAAUUGAACAUGCUGAAAGUACCUAUUGCCCCAAAUUAUCUAGUACAUAUUGCACAGGAAUCUCUACCUUAUGAGCAGAUGAAGUCCACCUACAACACCCUGAAUGAGGAUUGGACAAUAGAUGACCUGAUUACAAUUGCUGUUCUUGAGGAGAAUAGGUUGAAAGCUUAUAGUGGCGUGGUUAAUGUGGUCACUGCUAGGAAGUAGAGAAUAAGGGUGCUGCAAAAUCGAGAAUAAAGAAGCAGAGUCAAUCUCAAAAGAACAACCAUCUUGGCGUGACCCCUACCACUGAAUUCAAGUGCUACUUUUGCCAGAAGGAAGGUCACAUGAAGAAGAACUGCAACAAUUACAAGAAGUUGUUCGAGAAGAAUAAGAACAGAGGUAAUAAAGAAUUAGUCCUAGUGAGUUUUGAGUCUAAUUUAAUGGAUGUUUCUUAUGAUUCUUGGUGGUUAGAUACAGGUGCCUCGAUUCAUAUAGCUCAUAAUGUGCAGGAAUUCAUAAGAAGGAAGGAACCAAGAAAGCAUUAAGUGUUCAUGGGGAAUGGAGAGCAAGUAGCUGUGGAAGCCAUUGGAGUAGUGCAGCUGAAAUUGGAUUCAAGAUUAUUUAAAAGUUGGAUAAUGUAGUUUUAGUACCCUCAGUGAAGAGGAAUUUGAUUUUUGUUUCAAGAUUAUCAAGACUUGGUUUCGUUUUUCAAUCCAAUAAAAAUGGCUUUGCAUUAUCUCAGAAUUCAAAUAUUCUUGUUACUGGUUUUCUCUCAAAUGGAUUAUGUUGUCUUAAUUACAAUACAGAGGGUGAAGUUUUAAUGGCUGGAUUGAGUGAUAAAAGGAUUAGAAGUGAAGGAACAUCUACUAGGUUAUGGCAUAGACGUUUAGGGCACAUUUCAAAAGAAAGAAUGAAAAUUCUUGUUAAGAACAAAUCUUGCCAUCACUGACUUUCAAUGAUGACGAAAUUUGUGUUGAAGUAAAACUCACUAAGACUAAGAAGAAAGGUGCAACUCACAGUUGCGAUCUUUUAGAAAUCAUCCACACAGACAUUUGUGGACCAUUCCCUCAUCAAACAAUUGGUGGAAAAUCGUUAUUUCACCACUUUUCUAGUUGAUCACUCUCGUUUGGUUAUCUAUAUCUCAUAGCAGAGAAGUCUCAAACUUUUGAGAUGUUUAAGAUUUUUCAAAGUGAAGUAGAAAGGCAACUUGAAAAGAAGAUCAAAAUUGUGAGGUCAGAUAGAGGGGGGAAAUGUUAUGGACGUUUUGAUGAAAGAGGACGACAAGCUGGACCUUUUGCUAGGUAUCUACAAGAUAAUAGAAUAACUACUCAGUACACAAUGCCAGGAAUUCCGCAAUAGAAUUGUGUGGCUGGGGGAAGAAAUUGGACUUUGAAGGACAUGGUUCAUAGCAUGAUUUCAAAAACUGAUUUGCCUAAGAGUUUGUGGGGAGAAACGAUCAAAAUAGCAAACUACCUACUUAAUAGAGUGCCUAGCAAGUCUGUGCCUAAAACACUUUUCAAAAUUUGAACUACCAGAAAGCCUAGCUUGCAACAUCUUCAUGUAUGGGGUUGCAAGGCUGAAGCUAGAAUAUAUAACCCCCAAGAGAAGAAGCUUGAUCCUAAAACGAUUAGCUGUCAUUUUGUAGGUUAUCCCGCAAGGUCAAAGGAUUUUAGAUUUUACUUUCCAAAUUGUAGUACUCAAAUUGUUGAGACAAGUUGUGCAAAGUUCAUAGAGCAUGAGGAGAAUGCCACUGGGAAUGCAGAUUUUAUUUUUGAAGAAGAAGGUGAUGUAGUUGUGAUUGAGAAUUUUGAACAAGAUGUUACACCCUUAAUUCCUUUAAGUGAAACUAUAUUGGAAAAUCCUCAGUUUGAAAAACCAGUUGAACCAUAAGAACAAGCUGUUCAAAAUCCUGAGCUGGAUAAUCCACAAGAACUAGUACAACCGAGGAGAUCUGACAGACCAAGAAGAUCCACAACAAAUUCAGAUUAUGUGUACUUACAAGAAGCAUAUUUUGACAUUGGAGAUGAGGCUGAUCUAACAAGUUUUAAAGAAGCAAUGGAGAGUCAGAAUGCAGACAAAUAGAGGGAAGCGAUGUUGAAUGAACUUCAAAGCAUAAAGAAUAAUCAAGUAUGGGAAUUAGUUGAACCUCACAAGAGCCAGAAAUUGGUAGGCUCGAAAUGAGUAUUUAAGAUAAAGAAGGAUGAGGAUGGAAGAAUCGAAAGAUUUAAGGCUAGAUUGGUAGCCAAAGGAUUUACCCAAAGGGAGGGAAUUGACUACACUUAGACAUUUUCUCUAGUUUCCACCAAAGAUUCUUUCGGCAUCAUUAUACCUUUGAUGGCAUAUUAUGAAUUAUUUUUGCAUCAAAUGGAUGUCAAAACUGCCUUUCUGAAUGGUAAACUACAAGAAGAAAAUUACAUAAGGCAACCUGAAGGGUUUGCAAAGGAGGGAAAAGAGCAUAUGGUUUGCAAACUUUGCAAGGAAAUUUAUGGACUCAAGCAAGCAAGCAGGAGGUGGUAUUUCAAAUUUCACCAAACUGUUUAAUCUUAUGGUUUUGAAGAGAACAUAACUGACCAGUGCAUUUAUCUGAAGAAGUGUGGGAGUCGAUUUAUUUUUCUGGUGCUGUAUGUCGACGAUAUACUCUUGGCCACAAAUGACCACAACUUACUGAAGGACACUAAGGAGCUACUUUCAAACAAUUUUGAGAUGAAGGAUUUGGGAGAAGCUGAUGUUUUGUUGGGCAUUGAAAUUCAGAGAGACAGAGCUCGAGGCCUCCUAGGCCUAUCACAGAAAACAUACAUUGAGAGGAUACUCAAGCGUUUUCACAUGAGUAUGUGUUCUGGACAGAAAGUCACAUUAGCAAAGGGAGAUUUAAAGAAGGAGCAUUACCCCAAGAAUAAAGAAGAAGAAUAGGAGAUGAGGAACAAGCCGUAUGCUUCUCUAGUUGGAAGCAUUAUGUAUGCACAAGUGUGUACAAGGCCAGACCUAGCCUUGUGCAUUAGUAAGAUGGGGAGAUUUCAGUCAAAUAUGGGAAUGCAACAUUGGAUAGCUGGGAAGAAGAUUUUAAGGUACCUACAGAGAACCAAGGCUUGUAUGUUGAUUUACAGAAGCACGGAGAAUUUAGAGCUUGUUGGUUAUGCUGAUGUGAAUCUUGGGAAAGCAGAGGAUGAUUACAUCUCUACUUCAGGUUUUCUUUUCAAGAUGGUAGGAGCAGCUGGUGCUUGGAAGAGUGCUAAACAAUCUCGUGUUUCCAGUUCAACCAUGUUUAAGAAUACAUAGCUUGCUAUGAAGCCACUUCUCAUGCAGUAUGGCUAAGGAAUUUUAUUAAGGACAUCAAGGUGGUAGACUCGAUUUCUAGACCAAUACAGUUAUAUAAUGACAACACUGCGGCUGUUUUUCACUGCAUGAACAACAAGAUGUCAUAUGGACUUCAGCAUAUUGACAGAAAAUAUUUAAUAGUGAGGGAGAAGGUAACGGACAAACUAGUCAGGUUUGAUCAUGUUAGAACUCAAGAUAUGUUUGUAGAUCCGUUCACAAAGUUUUUACCUUCAGAAGCUUUUUUGAGACAUGUUGAGAGCAUAGGAUUAUUUCUUAGCUUUGAUGCUACAAUCUAGUAGGAGUCUUGUUCCCAUUCUGAUAUUUUUACAAGUUUGUUUAUUUUGCUGUUUUCUGGAUUGAGGGAUUUGCAUUUAUGGAUGUUAAUUUGGUUGACAGUUUUAUUUAUUAUUGAAUAAAUUCUACCAUUUUGACUAUUUAGCUGUUUAAACUUAUUAUGCAAUUUUGUUUAUGCAUGUGAGUUUAUGGUCUCUUUUUAAGAUACUAUUGUUUUAAUAACAUUGCGGAUUGACUCUUGCUAAGUCGUAAAGAGGUACUUGUACUGAAAAAGCAUAAAGAUUCACAUUAAGGAUCAGUAUAUAUUAAGGUUCGCGUUGUAGGUGCUUCAUGUGUUUUGAGAUUGCAUUAUGUGAUUAUAGAUUGCCUGAUUUUAAUAAAGAGAACAAUGCUUUUCUAUAGUUCGUUUUGUCUAACCACUUUUCACUGUAGCUUGAGGGGAAGGACUUAAUUGUUUUAAACUCAUGGCCAAUACGAAUUAUCAAACCUUUCGAAAUAUAGAAGCUUAGUGCUCUAAUGCUUGAUCUAGUGGGAGAAUGUUAUGUUUUCCUAUUUAGAUCAGUGAACUAGAUGCUAUGUUACUAUGUUACAUCAGGUUUUGAUAAGAGUUUAAAUUAAGUUACACCUUGGGCCUAACAGCUUGGAAUAAGGAAGGGUUUUGAAGCCUAUUAAGGGGGCCUAUUUAAUUCCUUUUAUACGUGAACUGAUUUGGUGGGCUUGGAAGAUAAGUCAAGUCGGCCAUCGGUGAGUUUAGAGGUUGCGUACUCUAGGAAGAUGGCUCCAGGUAUGUCUUCGUGUCUCUACGUAUUUCAGAUUGUGUGAAAGAUCUUGAACAUGUAUUUCACACUCCUUUCUUCUAUUCGAACAACCAUCAAUUUAUUUUUAAGGCCAACAAAGAAACUUGGAAUUGAAAUUUGGAUCCAAAGUCACUUAACCACAACUUUUCUCUUUCCUUUCACCAAUUGAGUGAAAUUCUCUUUGGUUUUUUUUUUUUUCAAUAUGUAAUACCCCUUCCCAAACUUAGCAUGGAAAACACAUCCAAAUUAAAACUCAUGAGUUCCCUACAAAGGUAAAUUCUUGUUUUUCAGGCUAAAGUUAGGAAUUAUAAUUGGUUAAAUGAAAGAAAAGGCUUACAUGUAGGCUCAAAGUGGUUAUAAUGGAAAAUCAUAUGUUUAAGCAUGCAUACGGUUAGCUUGAAAGGCACAAACGGUUCAAGGAGGGCCUUAAUACCAUUUCUUAAAUGUCAUGUAACCAAAUUGCAUAAGAAUGAAUGACUUUUAAGUGCUCAGCCAAGUCAAUUAAUAAUGAGAUCAAACAACAACUCAAAUGACAAGAAAAUAAGGCUCAAAGCUCACAUUAUAUGGUUAUACAAGUCUAAUUCAUGCUUGAUACAAUUCUUUCGAUCAUGCAAGUCCUUCCAUUGGGGAAUUAUGAAACAAAUGGCAAGUGCAUAGAGGGUUUCAAACAUAUCAUGCUAGAACGCUGCCAUUUAGUGAAAAAUAAAUUAUUAUUUUUUAAAGCAUUUUCAAUCAAGUCAUGCAAACAUUCAUCACAAUCUCAUCAUAUGUGUCUAGAAAGUGACUUGAAAACAAAAUGACUCAAAACUGAAAAGAAAACAAAAUAAAAGAAAGCAAGAAUUUAAGUGAAACGGAAAUGACUUGCUACCCCUUCCCAAACUUAGAAAUAAACGUUGUCCUCAAUGUUAAAAAUUUAGGCAUCAACAGUGUUAUAACAAGAAAGGAAAGGGAUUAAAGCAAUUGAAUAAAAGAACAAACAAGAAUUAAAACUACAACAUGGAUGCAAAAAUUAAAAACAAAACAAAACAAAACAAAAACCAAAUAAAACAGGAAGCCCUAACAAUAGUCCUACGCAAGCGGAAAGCCAACCCAUGGGAAUGCCCAAACCAACUGAAAACCCAACCAAAACGAAAGCCCAAACGCUUGUUUUUUGUUUGUGUUUUUUAAAUUCAAAGAAACGUGAUCAGGAGCAAAAGGAGCUAGAUUUCUAAAAAGGAAGAAUGUGGGCCCUGAUGUCUCGGCUCUUGGUAAGUCACGGGCAAACAAAGUGAGAGACGUGUCGAUGUGUAGAGGCCCCUCGGACAUCCCUAAGCCAUAAUUAUUGGCUUCUUAGGAAGGCGUGACGAAUUUUUGUCCUUAAUAUUUAAUUCCAAAACAAAUAUAAGGGGUAAUUAAAGGAUAUUGUGCAAUUAUAUUUUUAAUUGAUCAAAUUGGUUUAAUGCUAUUUUAUUAACUUUGAUCAAUGAUUUUCUAUUUUUGUAGGUGUGCAUGUGUGUGUUGUGAGAAAAAUCAAAAAAAUACAUGCAUGACUAGAAAUGUCCCCUUCAAAAGAAUGCAUGAAGUGCCUCACCUAUGCCAAAAGAAUUCAAAAGAAUGAUGGGAUGAAAGCAAACAAAAAGAAAUGGAAUUCACAUGCUUGUAAGGUGUCAUCCGCUCCAAACAAGAUCAAAUUCAAUGCAUAUUAUCUAAAAAGAUGAUGAAAGCCACAAGAAAAGGAAGAAAAAGAGAAAACAAUUCAACAAUGGAAUUAUGGGCAACCACACCAACAUAGACAAGAUGAAGUGGGAGUUAUGGAUUGUAUUAAAAUAGGAAUGGUGGUGUUGGAAUUCAUCAUAAUGUUCCUCCCUCUUAGCCCUAUAAACAGAGAAGUCUUCAAGCUUCAAAACACACACCAAGCUCACAAUCUUCUCUUGAGCUCUCUCUCCUUCCUCCAAUUCUUCUAGUUCUAAAUUUCUGUUUUAGUUUUAUUUUUUGGGGAACUAACUCCCUAGCUAAGGCUAAGGGGGAAGCUUUUAAUAUGAGUAUGUAAUUUUUAUUAAUUUGAUCCAAACUUAAGCUUUAAUGUGAAUUUGUAGUUUUGUUCAAAUGGAAUUUGUAGUUUUUCUUUUUAAUUAAUUGAUGAAUGUUUGAUAAUCUAUUUCAUGGGUUCAAUAAUGUAUUUCCCAUUGUGUAGUAAAAACUUUCAUGCUUUUAAAAGAUGAGACAAUUACUAAGAUAGAUAGAAUUUCGAUGAAGAUUAUUUUUUGAUAGUUUGUUGCCAAUGGUACAAGUUAUGCUUAGAAUACUUCUAAAGGAAAUUAAAAAUAGUUUUAAUUAUUUUGAACAACUACAAUGGAAUGGAUCAAAUUAAUAAGAGUUGCAUGCUUAUGUUAAAAGCGGAACCCCAAAGCCUUAAUGUUUUAAUCAAUUUAAUUUUCUUUAAAUCAAAUCUUGCAUAAAUCUACUUCUCAAUCUUAAUUGUUCUAUCUCAACUCUGUUAUUUUCUUUACACUACUCUCUGUGGAUACCACACUUGGACUUCCAAACUACACUGCUAUACGACACCUUCACUUGGGUUUUGCAAAGUGGUACAAAUCAAUUGGCGCCGUUGUUCGGGAGCGGCUUGUCAAAGAGUACAGAGAUCCCCUUGGUUGGAGGUUUGCUGCUUAUGUGAAAUUCUUCACAUCCGGUACACUUUUUCCAAACUUAUCUCAUUAUUAAUAUAUAUAUUUUCUUUUUCUUUUUUUGUUUAUUUUUUUUGUCUUUAUGCGACCUAGAGAUCAUCUAGGAAGAUUUGUUAAAAAGAUUGAAAUUGUUAAUUCUACUUCAACUUCUUCAACUGAAACAUCUGACAAAUCUGAAAGUAUGGCAGAAAUUGUGAAUAAUGAACGAGAGGUUAAUGCUUAGAUUGUGAAUAAUGAAAUAAGAGAAGAAGUAGUUGCACCUAGAACUUUAGAGACAUAUUGCAUCCUAUUCGUGCACCAAAUCCUUCAUGCAUCAUGUUUCCACCUAACAUGCCAUAUUAUGAUUUUAAACCUAGAAUGAUUCAAUUGCUACCAAUUUUUCAUGGUAUGGAAAGUGAAAAUCCUUAUGUGCAUGUAAGGAAAUUUGAAGAGGCUAUUGGCACUUUUUACAAUGGUCAACUUGAUAGGCUUAAUUUCAUAAGGUUAAAGUUUUUUCCUUUUUCCUUAAAAGAGAAAGCUAAAAGUUGGUUAUAUUCAUUAAGGGCUAAGUCCAUAAGUUCUUGGGCAGAGAUGACCCUAGCAUUUUUUAACAAAUAUUUUCCUAAUCACAAGACAAUUGCUCUUAAGAAAAAAAAUCUCCAAUUUCUCUCGGAAGGAAAAUGAAACUUUAUAUCAGACUUGGGUAAAUUUUAAAGAGCUUUUGAAUUUGUGCCCACACCAUGACUUUGAAAACUGGCAUCUUGCUAGAUAUAUCUAUGAGGGACUUCUCCCUCAUGAUCGCCAAUUUGUUGAGUCUAUGUGUAAUGGAAAUUUUAUGCAAAAAGACCCUGAUGAUGCCCUAGAAUUUUUGGAUGAAAUUGCUGAAAAAGCCCAUCAAUGUCCCAGUCUAGUUGAAACCACUGAUCGGUCAAGAAUUGCCACAUCGUCUACUAAUAAAGGAAUUUAUAAAUUAAAAGAGGAAGAUGAUUGGAAAUUAAAAUUUGAGGUUUUGACUAAAGAGAUAGCUGCUUUAAAAAUAGAAAAAUAAAAUUUACCUCAACCUGUUUAUCAAGCUAAUGUUAAUCAAGUACGUGAUUCUUGGUAUGAAAUUGGUCAUACUAUUAAAAAUUGCCCAAUUUUUCAGGAAAUGAAAGGAGCUUAUGAGGAGCGUUGUGCUGCUAUUGGAAACUUCAAACAAUAGUAUUCUCCUUUUUCCAACACUUAUAAUCCAGCAACAAGGAAUCAUCCAAACUUUUGUUGGAGCAAUGAGUCACAACAUCAGGUAAGUGACAUGAAUUCUUCCAAUAAUCAGUUUCAGAUGCAUUCAAUGCUAGGCCAUCUUUGACCGAUACAAUUAACACAUUUAUGCAUGAACAACAGAAGCAAAAUCAAAGGUAUGAUACUUUGCUUGGUCAAUUGGGUGAAGAGAAUAGGGAAAUUGGCAGCUUUACCCCUGGCUCACCUAAUUUAUUCACUAAUAUCCUUAUUUUGAAACUCAAUCACAAAUGCCCCUUAUAAAAACUCCUUAUUGACAGCCUAUUGCCCAUCCUUCACUUCGUUUUUUUUCCUUAGUUGUUGCUCUUCCUCUUCCCCUUCCUUUUCUUCCUUUUCUUCCUUCUGCCAAACCUCACAAAAUCCACUUCAACCAUAGAAUCUCCCUAAACUUUAUCUCAUCUUAGUUAUAUCUUCCAACUAGGAGCUGAUUUCAACCUCAAAGUUCAACCCCAAAUUUGGACCGGACCCUAGCCAAGGCGCGACUCUCCACCUCCGUUGUCGGCCUCCACAACAAAGCCAUAGUCUUGACGUGCCACCUCCAUUGUCGACUUCCACCACAAAGCCACGGCACCUUCCUUGUCGAUCUUCACUGUGGUGAGUUCUUAUAUUGGUUUUGUUUUAGUUUGUUUAUUUAUUUAUUUAUGGGUUUUUUUGAUUGAUUGAGAUUAUUGGGUGAUUGCUCUCACUGUUUUGAAUGAUAUAUUAAUGGGUUUCUAUUGUGGCUUGAUGUUUCUGUGAUUGAAUGAAAAUUACCAAAUAUUUCCCGUGGUUGUUAAGCUCUUGGACUUGGAUACACUAUUUUGUGCUUAUGAUUUUUCUUUGAAAUGAUGUUACAUUGUUUUGUGAUUGAGACUUGGACUUGCAGAUCUCCUUAAAAUUAAUGUAUUCACUCUUUUGGAUGAUAUUCGAUAUGAAACAACCUUGGACAGUCAAGGUUUGGCAAUUUGUAAGUAGUUAGUUACUAAUAGGAUACCCUAGGUUAAUGGCUUUGGAUUGGAUUUAACUUUAAGAGUUCUUUAUACACGCCUUCCUUGCUGAAGCUUGAAACACAGCUAUGCUAGCUGAACCGUUUCACUUUGCAUAAUACUGAUGUUUUAAAAUUGUUGAUUAUUAAUGUUUAAUUAAUGUUUUAUCUAUACGGUUUAUACACGACUUUAUAGAUUUUUUAUUGGUAGCUUAACAUGUGUUAACAAAAGGAAAUUUUAUGAUGGUCAGAAAUGGACACAAUUGCAAUUUUGGUUUGCUACAAUGGCAAAUGGGUAACCUCAAAGAAGAUGUGCACAUAUGAAGGGGGUGACUCAAAAGGCAUAAUAGUUUCGCAAAACAUCACGUUUGGUGAGCUUUUGGAACGGGUGCAUAAGAUUGUUAAUAGAGACAACAGGGAAGACAAGCUUUGUUUAAAGUUCUCAAUUUCAAUAUCCUCGAAUGAGUGUAAGCAUAUCAAGAUUGAGGACAAUGAUGAUGUUUAAUUUUUUUAUUAAGUACAUUUGUGAAGUAAUUCCUUCAAAAGUGGCUUCUUUACUGGUGAGCAUAGAAGACAGAGGAGUGACAAAUGUUGUAGGUGAUCGUAUACAUAUCACGACGGAUAUGAGUUGGAUGGCCUGUUCUUCAAAUGCCAUAGUUGAAAGCAAUGGUGAUGUACAUGGUGAUUUUGGAACAGAAUAUUUAGAUCUGAUUGAUUUUAAAAGGGUGGAGGGGAUGCAUAGUGGUGAUAAUGGUACGGAAAUGAAUGGCUUGCAAAUGCACUCAGCCCAUCCUAUUUUGGCCCAUUUGGAGACAUUUUCACAAGUGGGUGUGAGGGGUUUUGGAAUAACGUCUGAACUUUCUAUUCGACAUAAUUAGAGGCAAAUGGGUGAACAAAACGUUGACAAUUUGGGUAUUGUAAAUGAUGAAGAAGAAGAUAUUGAAAGUGCGCAUUCACGGAAUAAUUGGGAUCCAAAAUUGGAAGUUGGGAAAAUUUUCUCUAGUAAGGAAGCCCUGUCCAACAAGUUACAGUUGGUGGCUGUGAGAGGUCACUUUGAAUUUAAGGUGAAACAGUCUUGCAAGAGUUGAUUAGUUGUGGUUUGUUCUCAAGGCCCAUGCCCAUGACGGCUUCGUGCAUCUAGUUAUGGAGAAAAGAACUUCACGAUUGUGAAAUAUAAUCCAGUUCAUGAAUGUGAUAUGAGUUUUAUACAUGACAAGCAUCGUCACGCAAGUGCUAAACUCGUUGGUAAUGCAGUGAAGCAGAAGUUCAAAGAUUCUCGCACAAUAUACACAGCAAGUGAUAUAAUCAAAGAUGUGAAACAAAACUUUGGUGUCCCCAUUAAUUAUUGCAAAGCUUGGAGAUCGAGGGAGUUAGCUCUAAUAUCCAUUAGAGGUUCAGUAGAGGAGGCAUAUUCUCUCCUUCCAGCUUAUUGUCAUGAAUUAGAGCGUGUGAAUUCCAGCACAAGGACAUACAUCCACACCGAUGAGAACAAUCACUUUUUGUAUUUUUUAUGGUUGUUGGGGCAUGUAUUAGAGGGUUUCAAUCUUUGAAGCGGCUAGUCAUUGCUGUGGAUGCCACGCAUUUAAAAUGUAAAUAUAAGGGUGUCCUUUUUGUUGCCAAUGCAUUUGACGGAAAUCGAAAUAUAUAUCCUCUUGCUUUUGGAAUUGGGGAUUUAGAGACGGAUGCAUCAUGGCAUUGGUUUUUCAGUAAGCUUCAUGAAGUCAUUGGUGAGUGUCCAAAUCUUGUGAUUAUUUCUAAUCGGAAUAUUAGCAUCGAGAAUGUGUGGCAUAACAUUUUUCCAAGGCGCAACAUGGCAUAUGCUUUUACCAUAUGAAGAGGAACAUGAAACGCACUUUCAAAUUGAAAAAAACGUGAUAAAUUAUUGCUACACUUUGAACAAGUUUCAAAAUCUUAUGGCAUCGCUGAAUUUGAUCGUCAUUUUCGCAAGAUCAAGGGAAAUGAUGAGGUUGCUCAAUAUCUUGAAAGUGCAGGAUUACACAAGUGGUCUAGAGCUCAUAGGGAUGGACGUCGAUACAAUGUAAUGACAACAAAUAUUGCGGAGUCAAUCAACUCAGUCCUUCGAUUCGCAAGGAUGCUACUAGUGGUGCAUUUGAUUGAUGAAAUCAUCGAUUUGCUUGUGAAAUGGUUCAGUAAACGUCGUGAUUUUGCUUUGAAAUGUACAUCAACAUUAUGCCCUGACUUUGGCGAGAAGAAGCUGAGACGCAGGUUGGAAUGUGCUUCAAGGAUGAAUGUCGUGAAACUGAAUCAUGUAGAGUAUAAUGUCGUGGACGGUGAUAUGGACGGCCAUGUACAUUUGACGAAUAACACUUGCAGUUCUAGGAAGUUUCAGCUUGAGCAACUACCUUGCAAGCAUUUAGUUACAGUUUGCCGUUUUUUGAAACUAAAUGUAUACUCCAUGGCUUCUCAUUAUUACACUCGAAAUACAUGGUUGGAUGCUUAUUCAGAUACCAUAUACCCGGUACAGCCUCAAGAGUUGUGGGUUAUUCUUGAAGAUGUCCAAAGUAGAGUUGUGGGUCCUCCCAAUGCAAAGGUCAUGCCAGGUCGACGAAAGAAGUUAAGGAUUCCCUCUUAAAGAGAGGAUAUCAUAAGGAGAAAAUGCUCAAGGUGCAGUGGCACAGGCCACAAUAAAAGCACCUAUAAAAACAAUGUUCCACUACCUAAUGUUGGACAUACAUUAUGAAUUGUGUUGGUUUGUUAUGGAGUGUGAAUUUGAAUUGUAUUUGUAUUAGGUUUGUUCUGUAGAUUGUGAAUUAUGUUAAAUUUUCAUAAUUUAGUAUGUAUUUGUGUAUUCUAUGUGCUACAUUGUUGUUAACAUCUGUCAUUUUUGGGCCUAUAUUGUGUAUUCAAAUUUUCUGAUUCAGUGGGUCGAAUCGGGGGUGGGUAUGCCAUUCUCAUCCCCAUCCCCACCUUCAUACCUGCAAUACAGACUUGAUGACAGGACCCGAUCCAAAUUCCGCUUUGGAAUUCAAGUCGGACCCUGUGCGUGUCCGACACUUGGCGAAUGUCGGGCACAAUUGACCUAUUUGCCCUUCUAAUCGUAAUUUUAACCUUGACUCCUACCGAAAAUUCGGCAGAGUCUCCCCUGUAAUUUGCUCAAUCCCCAAAAUUUUCACCUGUCAAAACGAGCAUGUAUAUUAGACAACCAACUGCCAGUACUUCAAUAUACAUGCCAAUAGUUCCAUUCUCAAUCUAGGGCAAUAUAUCAGAGCAAUUCUAAUAGUUUACAGAUGAGUACAAACAACACUUUUGUAACAAGCAGGCAUGGAAGACAAAAUGGCCCGGUGGUGGAUUUCCUGUGCAUGCGCUACAGCCUGGGGGGCGCAAAACAUUCAAAAAAAAUGUGAGUGGACAAAAAUAAAGGUUCAUAAAAUAUCAUAAGAAUAUACUAACCCCCACUGUAAAGAUAGUUAAGUAAAACUGAAUAUUUAAACUGCCUUUGAAUCAUGCUAAAAUCAAGGCAAUCACAUAUUUAUAUACAUAUGUGCAAAUCAUAUUCAAGAUCCAUAAAACUCGCAUAAAAUCACUGUAAUCAAUUUUAAACUACCACCUAGGUGUACCCUUUUAAUUUCGUCAAUUCCUGGUAUCCGUCAAUUCCCCUAGCAGGUCUCGGUGGCACAAAGUCAACCCGAGCCGCAAACUGGCAGGAUUCAGGGGACCGUAGUCAACCUGAUCCGCAAUCCGGGCUCUCACGGUCGGGGCGUCCCUGAAACUCGUGAGGCAAAUGUCAAGUGCACUGACAAAACUGAAGGUGAACUGGAUGUCUGUAGACAUCGUCAUAUCUGAAGGCAACAGAUACUGAAAGCAAACUGUUUCUGUACUGGGUACCCAUGGUGGUUUAAGGAAAUAUAAAACUUAUGAGAAAAUAUAAAAUAUAAUAAUAUAAAUAUAAUAAUAUUUUUGAAAGAUCUGAUGAAUAACUGAAUCUUUAUUCAAUCUAGAACUCUGCUGCCAUAAGAAAAUAUAAGGUUUCUGAUAAAUAACUGAAUUUUUGUUAAGUCUGAAACUAUGCUGCCAUUUUAUCUGAUAUAAAUCUCAAUAUCUACUUUCGAUCUCGUUUUAGCAUUUUAACUAGGCAAUAUAAGAAUAAAUAUAUUUAAAUUCAACAAAACAUGCUAGAAACAAUCAUAAUCAAUAAACGUUCUUCAAGAUUAAAUUAUGGAUUUUAUUUGCAUAAAACCAUCUAUAAAAGAAAAGUCCACUCACUCCUGGUCUGAGCUAAAUAGACCUUCUGAAGGUCCCUCCUGCAGGUCUGCCUGGUUCCGGGUGCCUGGGUCGACGAAAAUAGUGGCCGGAGGAGGGAGAUCGGCGACUGUUGAGUUCGGAUGACGUCGGCCGCUUCUUCUCCAAAUUCCGGCGAAUCCGUGGUGGCUGGCGGCGGGAGGUGGCUGGAGUUGGAAGAGGACGUCGUCCCGGUCAUUUUGGUACCGGCCCCGUCCAUAGCCGUGGCCGGUGGCCGAAGUUACAAGGUGAAGAAGCGGGAGAGGUCGCGCGAGGAGAGAGAGUGAGCUGGUUUUAUAAAAUCCCACUUCGAAAUAUUUACGGUUGUGCCACUGAGAUUCUUUUGACCAUAACUCUCUCGUUACAACUCCGAUUCGGGCCCACUACGUGUCUAUGAACUCAUUUCACUGUGCUCUACGCAACGGUGUUUGUAGCAUGGUCAAAUUCAUUUCCGGUCAAAAAGUCAACUUUUCCUUAAUAAAAUAUUCUAAGGGCAAAAUUGUCUUUUCUCAAAAUAAAUUAUUCCUUAAUUAUGAAUUUUGGGUUUGGGUUAUUACACUUGAAAUAAUAUAUAUAUAUAUAUAUAUAUAUGAGGGCAAUACACUAGCAAUAUACAAGCAAUAAAGGGCUAUACAAUGGCAAUACACAUACUUCCCUAUAAAUUUAUCCCAACACAGACUUGGAAAAAAAAAAAAUUAUACGGGAGCAAUACAAUAGCAAUACACAAGCAAUAAAAGGCUAUACAAUGACAAUACAUAAGCAAUAAAAGGCUAUACAAUGGCAAUACACAAACUCCAUACUUCCCCUAUAAAUUUAUUCCAACACAGACUUGAAAAAAAAAAAGAUAUACAGGGGCAAUACACAAGCAAUGAAAUGCUAUACAAUGGCAAUACAAAAACUUCAUAAUCCCGUUAUAAAUUUAUUCCAAUAGACUUUAAAAAAUAAAAAAAAGAUAUACGGGGGCAAUACACAAGCAAUAAAGGGCUAUACAUGUGCAAUACAUAUGCAAUACAUAUCUAUCAUGGCAUUUGCCAAUUAAAUCACUGAUUUGGUUACAUUUGUAUUUUUUUUCCUUCUUUGCAAAGGGAACGAUAAAACCAUGGAAACUAGAGAUUGACAAAUUUCCUUCUAACUUGACCUUCAUAAAUUGAUGAAUUAACAAUGUUAUCUCAUUACAUCUUAAGAUAUACAUAAGAAAGUGGCCCAAAAAAAAAAAAAUUUACAUCUCCUCAUGGUUGGGAAUUUGAACACAUUAGCAAAAUUCGACGACAUUUCCUCUUAGAACCGAAUUUAAGCUGAAAGUUAGCAAUUUCCUCCCCAAGAGAACGCUGCCACUUGAAACAAGACAAUCUUUCAUCUGUAUAAAAUGAAUCAAAAAUGCAUAUUAGAAGCAAAUCAUUCAAUCACAAUGGAAACAAAAACAUAAUAUUCAAUCACAACUGAAACCAAUUUCAAAACAGAAACCAAUUCCAAAAUUCAUAACAUAAACCAAUACUAAAACAGAUUUAGAAAGCAAUACCAGAUUCAGAAACCAAUACCAAAAAAAGUUAAUACAUAUUCACAAGCACUACAAGUAUCAUAGACAUACAUUUACAUGCACUAUAACAAAUAGAGUCGAUAAAUGUAAAACUGCAGUAUGAUAUACAUUUUUUAAUAGAAGAAAGAAAAAAAAAUUAUGAUAUACAUCAUUUAAAAGCUGAGCUUGAAGUUUGCUGAGUGAAGGACGACCUUCAAGAAUCCAAUCUUUAUAUAGAUUGUUGGCUUUUCUAAAUGACCCAAUUCUUCAUAUAGCAAACUUUCACAAGAUAGCACGAUUGCAAAAUUAAAGUUCACAUUCAUGCACACAAUUUCGUACUACUCAAUUGCAAUAUAAAAAUUAUUAUAAACAUGGGCGAAGUGAAUGUGUGUCUUGGCAGGUGAAUAAAAAUACAAAUCAGGAAAUCAUCAAUAGUUCAUUUCGCAUUGUUCAAACAGUUGAAAAAGCACAGUCUCAGAGAAGAAGAAUAGCAAGACAAUGGAACUGGAUAAAUGCAAGAGCUAUCAACAAACCUUCAAGUUUUCCAAGAACCCUUUUCAAGGCACCAACACAACCUUGGCAUGAUACCAACCUUGAGGACUAUAGACUGCACCAAAAACAGAUUCAAGAUUGAAUUACGAAAAAUAGAGAAAAUCAAGAUCCAACAUAUGCCAACUUUACAGUAUCAAACUUAUGUUAAAAUAUUAGCAUUCUCAUAAAACUUACAAACUCCACAGUCAAUUUUGGAGAUAUCCUCCACCUCAAGACAUAAUCAAUUUAUGUAGUUCAUUCAAAAAUCACAUCCCAAAACAGAACAAACAAAUUCAGAUCAUUGAACCAAGAGACCAUUGAACCAAAUAACUAUGUUUCUUCAAUGUUUUUUGUAAGAAUAAAAACCUAACUGAGUAAUCGAAUUCAAUAAGCAAAAGAAAAUCUUCAAAAUCAUUGUAGAUUGGACAAGCUUCAAGCAUAAUAUUCCUUAAGACAAACAGAGAAAUAUUUGUUGCACAAUCUCAAAAUUUUGGUUCAAAAAGUUCUUGUAUAAUCCCACUGAAAUAACAUUAUCUACACAAGCUGAAAAUAUUAAUUGUAAACAAAGAGAGUAAAAUUAUAAAUUAAACCCACAAUUAUGUUUCAACAAAUUUCUAUUUAAUCUCACCCAAAUUUGACUUGGAGGGACUUGAACUCACAUCAAGCACCAAAAAUCCAAACCCAUAUAUGUAACUGAAACAAGGAGAAGAAAACCCAAAUGUGUAGGAGAAAAGCCAAGUUGUCUACCUGAGACGCCAUCUCUAAGCAUGUAGGUUGAAAGAGGUGACAGAGAGUGAGAGAUGGAGGUGGAAAGGUUGUCGUCGCCGAUGUGGGUUAGGGUUUCUGAGGAGGUGACAGUGACUGUUGCCGAUAUGGGUGCAAGAGAGAGAGAGUGGGUUAGGGUUUCUGAGGAGGUGAUAGUUGUUAGCAUAUUCAGAACAUUAUCAUGCAUAUAGAUUCAAUCAAAACAUGUAAUAAAUCUCAAUGAAAAUGCAGAGAGCUUUUGAGUAAAGAGAGGUCAGAUUUCUGUGUGUGAGAGAGAGAGCUUGGAGAAGAAUGCUAGCUUUUAUCAGCCCAGCACCAAAACAUGUAUAUAUCAUGAAACUGACAAAAACCGUUAGGGAGGAGAUAUUCCCUAUUACAUCACUAAAUCUAGCCAUUCAAUCAUUACCCUAUAAGAUAAUGACAGGUGGCAAAAUGCUAUUACAUUCUCUGCUGUACACUUGGACUAUGAUCCAAGGCAGCCUUCCUAACAAGAAUAGAACCUUCAUAUUCUAAUUCCAUCACAGCAGCUACACCUAUACACCAACACUCCCUUCUAGGUGUUGUGCUGAAAUAACACCUAGAGCCUUCCUCAAAUACUCAAAUCUGUCUCUUGUUAAUGGCUUGGUGAAAAUGUCAGCAAGCUGCACUUCUGUUUUGCAAUAUAGCAAAUCAAUCUCACCAUUUUGUAGAGCAUCUCUUAUGAAGUGAAACCUGCGGUUGAUGUGUCUGGUUUUGUGAUGAUGAACAGGAUUCUUUGAUAUAGCAAUAGCUGAAGUGUUGUCACACAACAACUGAGUUGGUUCUACCUGUUCCUCUCCAAAAUCAGAUAACACAAACCUCAGCCACAUAGCUUGUGCAGUAGCUUCUGUUGCACUCAUGUACUCAGCCUCUGCUGUUGACAGAGCAACACUACUUUGCUUGAUUGAAGCCCAAGAAAAUGCACCUGACCCCAAGUUGAAAGCAUAGCCUGAUGUGCUCCUCAUGUCAUCUUCACUUCCACUCCAAUCACUAUCACAAUAGCCUAUUAACACUGCUCCUUUUCCCUUAUCAUAGGCAAUUCCAUAGUUUAUGGUGCCUUGAACAUAUCUCAGCACUCUCUUUGCUGUUCCCAUGUGCUUCUUGGUUGGAUUAUGCAUGAAUCUAGCCAAGAGGCUUGCUGCAAACAUGAUAUCUGGUCUGGUUGCAGUCAGAUAGAGCAAGCUCCCCACCAUUUGCCUAUACAAUGUCUCAUCUGCUAGUUCACUUCCAUCCACUUUUGACAACUUUUCAUUCACUGCCAAAGGUGUUGCAACAGACUUGCAAUCCUUAAGUCCAAAUUUGUCAAGUAAAGUCUUUGCAUACUUCUUCUGGUGAAGGAAGAUGCAAGAAUCAGUUUGUAGGACCCCAAGACCAAGGAAAUGAUGAAGUAGUCCUAGGUCAGUCAUCUCAUAUUGUCUCAUCAUAUCAUCCUUGAAUGCAGCCAUCAUUUCUUUUGAGCUUCCUGUGUAGAUAAUAUCAUCUACAUAUAGAGACACAAUGAGAAUACCACUUGUAGACAUCUUUGUGUACAAAGUAGCUUCACUUGGACUUCUAUAAAAACCAGUCUUGAUGAAAUAGGAAUUUAUCUCAUCAUACCAAGCUCUUGGAGCUUGUUUCAAACCAUAUAAAGCCUUUUUCAGCUUAUACACUUUAUCUUCACUUCCUUGCAUCACAAAACCAGAUGGUUGAUCUACAUAAACUUCUUCAUUUAGCACUCCAUUAAGAAAUGCAGACUUUACAUCUAGUUGAAACAGAUUCCAGUUUCUCUGUGCAGCAACAGCCACCAAGGUUCUCACAGUAUCAAGUCGAGCCACUGGUGCAAAGGUCUCAUUGAAGUAAAUUCCAGGCUUUUGAGAAUAUCCCUUUGCCACCAGCCGAGCCUUAUUCUUCUGCACAGAUCCAUCUAGGUUCAGUUUAGUCUUAUAGAUCCAUUUGACUCCAAUGAUUGGUUUAUCAAAUGGUCUAUUCACAAGCUCCCAUGUAUUGUUCUUCUCAAUCAUGGUGAUUUCAGCUUCCAUUGCUUUCUUCCAAGAGUCAUCCUUUGCUGCCUCUUCAAAACUUUCUGGUUCUAUAAUGCACAUGUUGCAUUUUUCAUAAAUUUCUGCAAUGCUCUUGUACUUGAGAGGAGUAUGAUCAACAUCCUGUGAUCCUGCUUCCCUUUCUUGGUCACUGGUUUCAGUGUUUAAGCUAGGCAUCUCAUUCACUUCCAAUUGUUCUUCAAAUUCAUAAGAGCUCCCUUCUGCUCCUUGUUCUUCUUCUCUGAUUUCAGUGAGCUGAAUAUUCACACUAGUCUCCUUCUUUGUAUUCCAAUCCCAACACUCAUUCUCACUAAAUAUCACAUCUCUUGAAAUGAUAACCUUUUCAGUUUCAAUAUUGUAUAGCCUGUAUCCCUUUUCACAGCUGCCAUACCCCAGAAAAAUACACCUCUUGCUUGCCAAAUCUAGCUUCUGUCUUUGCUGUUUUGGUACAUGAGCAUAACACAAUGAACCAAAUACCUUUAGAUGCUUAACUCCUGGUUUCCUCCCACCAUAAGCCUCAAAUGGUGUCUUUUUGCUCAAGGCUUUAGUUGGACAUCUAUUCAAAAUGUACACAGAUAUGUUGACUGCCUCUGCCCAGAAAUCAAAAGGAAUUUUCUUUUCCAACAGCAAACACUUGGCCAUUUCUACUAUAGUUCUAUUCUUCCUCUCUGCCACACCAUUUUGCUGUGGUGUGUAUGGGGUUGUGAGCUGCCUUUCAAUGCCUGCAUUGUCACAGAACCUCUCAAACUCCACUGAAGUGUACUCUCCUCCUCUGUCACUUCUCAAUUGUUUAAGUUUGUAACCACUUUGCAAUUCCACAGUGGCUUUGAACUUCUUAAACACACAUAGAGCUUCUGACUUGUGCCUUAAGAAAUAGACCCAACACAUCCUUGUGCAAUCGUCUAUGAAAGUGAGAAAGAACCUAUUUCCAGCUUUGGUAACUGUCUGCAUAGGACCACAGAUGUCACUGUGAACAAGUUCUAGUGGAGUUGAUGCUCUAGAGAUAGCUUCUCUUGGAAAUGCUUCUCUACUCUGCUUGCCUAGAACACAACCCUCACACACCUCUUUAACUUCUUUAAUUUCUGGCAGCCCUACUACCAUAUCUUGCUCUUUCAAUAGUUUCAGACUACUCAUAUUGAGAUGUCCAAAUCUUCUAUGCCAGAGGUCAGUGGAAUGGUCUACACCUGCUCUAUAAGCAAAGUGCAUUUCAGCCUGCAACUUCAAAGGAAAGCUUCUGUUUCCUUUCAUCUGAACCUUUGCCACCAGAUUUGUAUGAGAGCUGUCAUUGUAGAUUUCCACCUUGUGAUCACCAAAUACCAAAUAAUAGCCAUGUUCUAUCAUCUGUCCUACACUGAGUAAGUUCUCUUUCAGUCCAGGUACAAGCAUUAUUUCUUUGAUAUGUCUCUUGCCUGCUUUGGUUUCAACCACAAUAGUGCCUUUUCCAGUUACCUCUACAAGCUGUCCAGUUCCCAUUUCAACCUUGGCAGUCACCUUUCUGUCAAUAUCCACCAACAAAUCCUCUUUUCCUGUCAUGUGAUUACUACACCCACUGUCCAAAUACCAGAUCUCUUCAUCCCUUGUUACACCAGCACCACUUGCAUUGCUAGCAUAGAACAUUGUUGGUGCAGCUUCCACUUGAGUAGCAUAGUUGACCUGCUGUGGUGUUUUCUUGCUAUAGCAGUCUUUUGCAAUGUGGCCAAGCUUAUCACAGUUAUAACACUUUGGCUUGCCCUUGAAUCGACAUUCACCAAAAUGUAGCUUACCACAGUGCUUGCAGGGAGUUUUAGUGCCUUCACUUGCCUUGUUAUCCCACUUCUUGCCUUUGGAUUUCCAAUUUUUAUUCUGUUUGCUGUUCUGUUCUCCAGUCUUGGUCUGUUUGGCAUCUACACUAAGGCUAGCAAAUGCCUUCUCUGUUCUGUUUUCAGAAUGCCUAUCUAAACGCAACUCAAAGCUCUUUAGUGAGGCUACAACCUCCUGCACCUCAAUCUCAUUUAGAUCUCUAGAAUGUUCAAUGACUGAACAGAUAGAGUCAUAGGUAGAUGGCAGACUAAUAAGCAGUUUUUGAACAAUUCUCUCCCUAGGCAAUUCCUCCUCAUAACUUCUCAUUUGAUUAAUUAAAUCAAAUAGUUUAGUAACAUAGACAGUUAAGGAUUCAUCAUCCUUCAUUCUUGUAUAUUCAAAUUCCCUUCUAAGGCCUUGCAAACACUCCUUACCUGCUUAUCUCCAUGGAAUUCUUGCUGCAGAAUACUCCAGGCACCUUUUGAUGUCUCUUCAUGAGAUAUUCGUGGGAAUAUCUCCUCUGAAACUGCUCCUUGAAUCAAUCCAAGGGCCUUGGCAUCCUUCAUGAGUACCUCAGCAACCAUGCCUUUCCCACUUGAUUCUUCUGUCUCCUUUUUCUGAUCACCAGAUUCAUCUGACUUUUUCAGAUCCAUACCAUCAAGUCCUUUGAUCACAAAAUCCCACAGUCCAUGAGAUUUGAAGAUGGUCUUCAUCCUAAUGCUCCAGAAAUCGUAGUUCUCACCAUUGAAAAUUGGUGCUCUCAACUCACCACCACUUGAUCCAGCCAUGUUAGACUUAGGUCUGCAGAACUCAAGCUCAGCUGCAGCUUCAAUAGCUUAGCACAGAAAAACGCCCAGUAUUACAAGAUCAAACCUGGCUCUAAGGCCAUGUUAGCAUAUUCAGAACAUUAUCAUGCAUAUAGAUUCAAUCAAAACAUGUAAUAAAUCUCAAUGAAAAUGCAGAGAGCUUUUGAGUAAAGAGAGGUCAGAUUUCUGUGUGUGUGAGAGAGAGAGCUUGGAGAAGAAUGCUAGCUUUUAUCAGCCCAGCACCAAAACAUGUAUAUAUCAUGACACUGACAAAAACCGUUAGGGAGGAGAUAUUCCCUAUUACAUCACUAAAUCUAGCCAUUCAAUCAUUACCCUAUAAGAUAAUGACAGGUGGCAAAAUGCUAUUACAUUCUCUGAUGUACACUUGGACUAUGAUCCAAGGCAGCCUUCCUAACAAGAAUAGAACCUUCAUAUUCUAAUUCCAUCACAGCAGCUACACCUAUACACCAACAAUAGUGACUGUCGCCGAUAUGGGUGCAAGAGAGAGAGAGAGAGAGAGAGAGAGAGAGAGAGAGAGAGAGAGAAGAAAUGAGAGGAGGGCAGAGUGAGUGAGAUCGAGAAAUUAUGAAAGAGGAUUUGAGAGAAUAAACAAAAGUGAAAGAUGGGCAAUAAGCUGUCAAUAGGGAGUUUUUAUAAGGGGCAUUUAUGAUUGGGUUUCAAAAUAAGAAUAUUAGUGAAUAAAUUAGGUGAGCCAGGGGUAAAGCCGCCAAUUUCCCAAGAAAAUAAAGAAAUUAAAAGUCAAAUCUCCAAGUUGACUAACUUUUUGGCUAUUAAUGAGAAAGGAAAAUUUCCUGCCAACACUCAACCAAAUCCAAAAAGGGCUAAUUCUUGUGAAUCUUCACUCGAGCAUGUAAAGUCUGUUAUUACUCUUAGAAGUGGUAAAAUAAUUAACACACUUUCACAUAAGGAAGUUGAAAAAUCUAACAGUAAUGAUAAACUUAACAUGUCCAACUUGAAUGAAUAAAAUGAAUAUCAUUUUCCCCAAGCUUUAAAUCCUCCAAAGAAAUUGAGUCAAAAUUCUGAAAUUUUAGAUGUCUUUAAAGAGGUCAAAGUGAAUAUUCCUUUGUUAGCUGCAAUUAAACAGAUUCCAUCCUAUGCUAAAUUUUUGAAAGAUUUGUGCACGAUCAAAAGAAAGCAUCAAGUGAAGAAAAAGGCAUUUUUAACUGAACAUGUGAGUGCAUUGUUACAAUAUAAAAUUCCUCCAAAAUAUAAAGACCCUGGAAGUCCUACUCUUUCGUGUGUAAUUGGAAAUAAUUUUAUUGAUCGUGCAUUACUUGAUUUGGGCUCCAUUGUAAAUUUAUUGCCUUAUUCAGUGUACUUGCAGCUAGGUCUUGGUGAGCUUAAACCUACAAAGGUAAAAUUGCAAUUGGCUGAUCAAUCAGUAAGGACACCGCGAGGGAUUACUGAAUAUGUGUUGGUCUAAGUGGACAAAUUUUAUUAUCUUGUUGAUUUUAUUGUUUUGGACACUGCACACGUUUCAAAUUCUGAUAAUCCAGUUCCUGUGAUUUUAGGACGUCCUUUCUUGGCUACGUAUGCUAACAUUAAUUGCAGAAGUGGGGAGUCAUGAAACUUUGUUUUGGAAAUAUGACCAUGAAAGUUAAUGUUUUUAAUGUUUAUAAACAGUCAUCUGGGGAGGAAGAUGAACCUGAAUCUGUGAAUUCUAUCUCAACUUUAUCGCAUGAUCAAUUUGCGAAAAGUAGUGCUGUUUCUUGUUCAGAAAAGUUUCAAAUUAAUUCUAAUGGUUCUAAUUUAACAAGAAAUUCUCAAAUGACUGAAUUUGUUAGAUGACCAGGGUGGAAGAAAGUUGACAAAUAUUAUAGCCAGCCUUAGCAGUAGAAUAGAUGCCGUGACUUCUUUCAGCCCCUUAGAUUUACAAUUAAGACUUUCCAGCAUUACUACUUUUACGUAGAUAACACAAAUUCCUAGCAUUACUCCUCUUCACUGCCUUUAUCAAUAAAUGUCAUGCAUUUCAGUCAUCUGGAAGCUAAGUGAUGACAACAGGCCUUUUUCUCUACAACUAAUUAAGCUACACAGCACUAAUAAAAUCAAAACGAACAAGGUUAUAAAGUAUUGAACAUCAGAGCAAUAUGCAACGAACCUUUGAAAGGGUUGGUGCAAAUUGUUUCACAACAUCAUCUACAUGGUUUCAACGAUCCCCCUGCAAGAAACCAAAGCAUCACUAAUUUAUCUUCAUCAAUGUGUUUCUGUAUGCGAAUUUGAUUUCAAGAGGUGGGUAGUUAAAUGGUACCUCUGAAAGAUUAGAAGCAUCUCUAAUGAUGAUUUUUGUACCAUGUCCUCCAAGACCAAUCUUAUUGUUAUCAAAUGCGAAGCCUCACUCGCAGCCGCAUCAACAAGUAAAACGCUUUUCUUCUUCUGUGGCAUGAAUCAUUCUAAUGGCUUUAUGGGUUGUUUAUGAGCUCACAGUAUCUCUGUCUCCCACUGCAAUUCAAUCAAUCUCAAGCCUGGAGGAUGGACAGUACGGCACAGAUUGGAUUUCCUUCUUUGACACAAACUCUGAUUUACUCUCUGCGAAAGGGGUGAGGAAGAAGAGAAAGAGCUUACCGUACACUCAACUUUUUUUUGUAUUUGGUUUUUUAUUUUGGGGGUUAAUGCAUUUUAUUUUGAGAGCUUCACUAAUAUACCCAAAAUAGGGGCUGAAAUUAUAAAAAAAUCUCAUAUAGAAUGCACUUUAGAAACACACCAAAAACUCAUUUACUACAUAAGAAAUUGGUGUUUAAGUUUCUAUAAAUUAUGUAAUUGCCAUUGAUCAACUUAAAAAAAAAGUCCAACACAAAAAAUUUAAAUAGCACCCAAAACAAACCCAACCCAAUUUUAUAAAAAAACCCAAACAAUUCAUUACAAACAAAACGUUUUGAAAACCAUAGCUUCAUUAAUGUGUCAUGGUGAUUAAUGACUGUAAUAUUCCAUACAUUUACUUUUAUGUUGAUUAAUGGCUGUAAUGUUCAAGUCUAGAGUAAUGAUCAAGUCUAUGCGAAUUUGAUUUCAAGAGGUGGGUAGUUAAACGGUACCUCUGAAAGAUUAGAUGCAUCUCUUAAUUAAAAUAGUCUUUAUCAUUACUGUUGUCACUUUUUUAUCCAACCUAAGAUAUUGAUCUAGUGGUGGUAGAGUUGGCCCCGUAUUUGAACUCAAUCAAUUGGGGAAAAUAAAGAUUUCUAUAGAGGAAAGGCUACUUUUAUUCAGAAAACUCAAAAGUAUUGUCAAUCAUUGAUGUGUGCAUAGAUGGUCGAGAAAACCCUUUUCAUUGUAUAUAUGAUAUUCUUUAAACAAACUAAACAAACAGAAUCCAGAUGGUAAAAUUUGGGAAAAGUAGUGAGUCCUAACACAACACAAUUAUGAAGGUGAUCAUGGUACAAAACUCAAAGUAGUAAAAUUUCGAUGCCUUCUUUUAAGUCUUACUAGAACUUCCAUGCACCCAAUCUGAAAAAUAAAAUAUAAAAAACAUUGUAGCAUUCGAGUUUGAAGCCCCUAGGAACAUUGUAACAUAACACACUAAAUUUCUAUUUGGCAAUUGAAAUGAAAGACCACUAUAUAUUCUUUUCCCGUAUCUACUUACAUAUAUGGAUAGAGAAGAGAAGGUACAAUUACAAAAGAAGAAAUUAACUCUGCUGCAGGCCUUUGCUACUAAUUGGGUUCAAUCUUGGCCGAAACUGCGUAUCCACUACUGUAAUAAAAGGCACCAGUGCUGUCAUUCACUUCCUUUUUCGGCAAGCCAUCGUUGUAUGGAUGCUUAGGAGCUCCUUUUGAUGCUGCAAAUUCUGUGGCUGAUGAAGAUGCUGAUGUUGAGUUUGUGUUCAUGCCAUCAUUCUGCAGAAUGGUUUCAAUAGCCUUCACAAGCUCACUCAUUGUGGGGCGGUCUGCAGCUGAUUCUUCAACGCAUUGCAGGGCCAGCUCCAGGAACCUCCCAAACCCAGUAAGAGUUCCAGAGUUUCGAAUGCUUCGAUCCAUUAACUCCCUCAAACCAUAGUGUUCUUCAUCAUUCUUGUCCAUCAUCAUUUGUACCUGGCGGACGAUGUAUUUUCCCAUCUCAAUAGGCUUCCUAGCCGUAAUCAAUUCAAGCAUCACUACUCCAAAGCUGUAUACAUCACUCUUCUCAGUUAACUGUUGAGUCGUGUAGUAUUCAGGAUCAAGAUAUCCCUGCAAGAACAAAACAGAAACUUAAGAGUAAAAACUCAAGAAUGAGUCAAUGGGAUGAAAUAUGUUGAAAUGCUAAUAACGUAAAGCUUACCAUUGUGCCUUUGACCUGACUUGAGACAUGCCCUUUUCCACUGUCAGCUACCAGCUUGGACAAGCCGAAAUCUGUAACCUUCGCGGUUAAAUGUUCAUCUAAUAGAAUGUUGGCGGACUUCACAUCUCUGUGAAUUAUAGGAGGAUUUGCAAGCUCAUGUAGGUAAGCUAGUCCUCUUGCCGAGCCAAGAGUGAUGCGGAGUCUCCUCUGCCAAUCAAGAUGAAUACCAGAUCUCCCUGCAAUUCAUAUUUAAGCAAAGGUGAACUUGGUCACUAUGUCUAUUGCAAACAAGCUAUCUCUAUGCAAUAUGAAAUAGCUGAGAGUAAAAUCUUUGAACUAACCUGACAAGCUUUCCCUGAGUGUUCCAUUCGGAAUAAACUCAUAUACCAGCACCUGUUCUCCUUGUUCAAAACAAAAUCCCAAAAGGCCAACAACAUUUUUGUGAUGAACUCGCGAGAGCAACUCGAUUUCAGUCUUGAACUCAAGGCCACCCUGCAUUGAUCCUUGCUGAGCUCUUUUGAUUGCCACCACUUGUCCAUCAGAAAGCAUGCCCCUGUAAACCUAUGGACAACCAACCAAAAGGUGAAGAAAAAAAACAUCCUUUAACUUGAAGCAGAAUUUCAUAGAUGUUACUGAAAUACUUGAAUUAAUAUACCUUCCCGUAUCCACCAGAUCCUAUCUCAUUACUGUCAGAGAAAUUAUUUGUGCAUUUCUUAAGCUCAUCAAAAGAAAAACAUCUUGCUCCCUUUAACUGUGGUGCUCCACCACUGUCUUUUCCGCUUGGUGCCCAAGAAGCUAGAAGAUAGAGAAAAGGAGUGAUACAAGCAAACCAACUUCUAAUGUCAAUGACAGAAUUUCAAUGUAUCCAAUCAUAAACAACAAGAAUAAUUAAUUACCAAAAGGUCGGCUUAAUCCAAUGGCUCUUUCUGCACGUUUCUUUUGCCUAAUGGCAUAUAUUCCCACUACCACGAGGCCCAGUACAAGAGCUACACAACUAACUGAUGUCCCAAUAAUAACACCAGUGCUCAUAGAACUUUUAUUCCCACCUGAAACAAUUUUGAGUUUUUAUUGUCAGUUUAAUCAAUCUUCUAAUGCAGGGAAAUGGCAUACGAAGUAACGAUGCGAUUUGAAUUACCCGGGAAAGUAUAAGGAUAUGGAAUAAAAUAAUAGGGUCCAAACCCCUCCGGUGGCUUUUGAUUUUGGUAGUUCAAAUCUAAACCAAUCCUCAUAAUCUCUGACCUAUUAAAAUACAUUCCUGUAGGUGGAAAGAGUGCCAGCUGAAUUUGAAGAUAGUCAUGAUUGUCGAAGAAAGGGUUUUCAAGAGAAACUGAACCAGGAAUGAGGCCAAGUAUUUCCCAUAGAAUCGUUUCUAGUGCGUGAAACAUAGUCACAUUUGGCAAUUCCCUGAAAGGGGGUGCUCUGAAAUACAAUGUUCCUUUGAAAGGAUAUGCACAUUGACAACUCUGAGGGCUGGGCUUCUGAUUAUCGGGGCAUGUAAUGCGUGCACAAUUCGAGCUAGUAGUAUACGUUUCUGUAUCUUGUUGCGGAAGCUGACAGAAUUUAGUGACGGCAGUUCCACUGGUGCAAAAUGGGUUCUCUACAAGUCUGCAACAUGUAAAAGUGACAACUAAGAAUGGUGUUGAAAAACACACAACCUUAGAAAAUCAAGAUCAAGGCCCAUGAACUGUCUCACAUUAAUGUAUGUUUGUAUUUAUAACCCAGAGUUAUUUUAGGAAUCUGAUUGUGCUGCAGAUCAACAAGCUGCAGUUGUGGACUGAUGCUAUCACCCAAGUUCAAUGUAUCGUUAAACGCAUUGUUUUUCAGUUUCCUGUCAAGGGUUAGAAAAAAAACAUGAAGGGCAAGUUUCCUAAAGUUACAGUCAAAACUUGAUGCUUUCUUCGGUAUUCUCCUUAAACUUACACUUGCUGCAAUGUUUUGAUGCCGAACAUCUUCUCUGGCACAGUCCCUUCAAGUGCUCCAAAUUCUAAAACGCUGUGUUCCAUAAAAGUAGAGAAUUUCAACAAAAAAUUACAACAAAGUUUUCAGGGUGUACUUUUCCAAGACUCAUUCAUAGAUACUAAGACAUUUUUGUGUAACCUCCUAAGGACUUACAUAGUGGUGAUUGAGGGUAAGUUCGAGAACCAAAGUGGAGCUUCUGAUGGGUCAAAUGAGUUGUUACUCAGGUCUCUGAAGUAAAAUCAUUAGGAUUUAUCAGUACAACAAAAGAACAACUUGCAGGAAACUUGAAACUUGAAAUGACAGCUCCAUGCCAUCUUACUCACACAGUAUGGAGGGACCUCAUUCCAGUUAAGUCAGGUAAAGGGCCUGUCAAUUUGUUGUGAGCCAAAUUUCUGGAAGAGAACAAAAACUCAUGUAAAAGAUGAUUAAGAAUAAUUAAGGUAACUGUUAACAGCACAUUAGAAUAUCCUCUUAGAGACUUGAUACUCACAGUUCAUUGACAUGUGUUAGGUUGCUGAUAUUUGAGGGGACAUUUCCUGUCAGAGCAUUUCUAUCAAGCCGACUGUUGCAAACAAGAAGGUUUUGAAUCCAAUAAGUAUCAAGAAGCAGAUACUUAUAUGUGAAAGAAUAACAAAAUGGAGCUGUUUUUGUACUCACAGAACCUCAAGAGUCUGAACGAGUGCUAUGGUUGAUGGAAUCUCCCGAAUAAAUUGAUUUCCAUCAAACAAACUGCAGUUGAAGAAUGACAUGCAGUUAGAUAAAUAUAAGUACAGAACAUAAACUGAUAGAUGGCAUCUGGCUAAAUUAAAAAAAUGAUCGAAGGGAUCAACUUACAUGUGUAUCAGUUUCAUCUUAGAGCUGAAAAGUUUGGGAUGAAUGGUACCUGAAAGGUUGUUCUUGCUGAAAUGGCUGCAUGUCCAUAUUAUCAGUUUAAUGUUUAUGCAAUAAGCAAUGGCAUAAUCCCUAUUAGAAUUUCAUCUUUUCACAAUGGAGAGAGUUUGGGAAAUGGAAAAAUACUCACAAGUGUUCAGCCUUCAAUAAAUUGUCUAAGCCUGAGGUAAGGGGGGUUGAAAUUGGUAGAGUUCCAGUCAACUGAUUGUCUACCAGGUCCAACCAGUUAAGUUUGGAGAGUUUACCCAAAGAAGGAGGUAUUUGACCAGUAAAUUUAUUCGUAUUCAGAGCCCUGAAAAGAACAAAAGAUUUAUAUAAAGUUGGGAAAGAAAAAACUUAAAAUGGUUUGCACUAACAGUAUGAUUAUCAAUUCAAUUCUUACAAGAAAGUUAGCUCUCCAAGAUUGCCCAAUUCCUCUGGAAUAUUGCCACUGAAGCCGCAGCCCGCUAGGAUCCUAAAAGAUGAAAAGAGUCCUGUAUACUUAUCCAAUAUACAAACUUAUAUUGCACAUACAAAGUUCAAAAGGUGCAAAUGUGAAAAUUGCUUGCUAAUUUGUUCUUACAGGAUAUUUAACUUGCUCAGAUCUCCUAAUCGUGGAGACAGAGAACCCGUGAGGCCUUUGUUGAAUGAAAGGUCCCUGCAAUGUUAACGUUUCCACUUCGUUACAGAAGGAUGCCAUGCUAAUCGAAGAUUGAGUGAUAACAAAAUAAUUGAUACUGCAAAAGAAAUAUGUUUUAUGCAUUUGUAUACAUACUGAAUCUGUUGCAUUGCAUCUGUGUUCAAUUCAUAAUGUGCUGCAAACAUAAUGCUGGUACAAAGAGGAGCAAUUAUACUCACAAGGAUCUUAAUUCAGAGAGUCCCCCGAUAUCGCCUUCAAUUUGUCCUUUCAAGUCCAUUGCUGAUAAUCCCCUGCACAUAAAAAAGUGCAAGGUUGAAAAUUUGUGUAAGAAAGUAGUUCACCAAUGCCCAGAACUAUAAGGAUCACAUGAAAAUUCAAAGAUGAACAAUGCUCACAAUGCGGUCACCCUCGAAUUGUUGCAGGUGACUCCUUCCCAGUUCAUUCCACAGGGAUCAUUUGACUUGUCGUUCCAGCUGGGUGGAAGAUUCGUCCAUGCCCCCUUCAAGGAUAUGAAAACAGCAGCUGGACCAACAGACUUACAAAUCAAUCUACUACCUUAACACAAAGUUUGUACACACAUAUGUGCAGGAUGUUCAACUUACAAUCAAAAUUUAGCUAAAACAUUAAGAAAAGCUUGCAUUAAACACAAUCUAAAUGGACUAAUGACCAAGUUUGCAUGCAAAAACAUGAGAAACAGGAGGAUCAACAUGAUAUUGUUUGUUACACAUAUCUAGGCCAAAGCUCAAACUACCAAAACCCCAAUUUCCCAUUAACUAGGAAAUCUUGUUUGUUACACACGACUGUCUUGACAUGGACUAUGUUUAGGGACUGUAUUGGCUUGGCUUGGCUUGGUCUAAGUUGGAUAACACUUAUCCUGCAUUUGGUGUAUGCUUGGACUAGGACUAGAUUUUUUUAUUUUUUCAAAUAUAUAUAUAUAUAUGUAUGUAUAUAUGUAUUUUAUAAUAUAUAAUAUAUAUAUAUAUCUAUAUAUAUGUAUAUAUGUAUUUUACAGUCCCGAUGUCUUGGACUACAGGGGUCCAAGAGAUUUGUGGUCAUGGAUGUAAAUUCAAUGGUUCACUCACUCUUGCACUCCUUUUAAGAAACUUUUUUGAACCAUUGGAUUAAUAUCCAACGGUGGGUGACCACAAUCUCUUGAACUCCUGUGGUCCAAGAGAUCAGGACUGUAUAAUAUAUAUGUAUAUAUACAUACAUAUAAUAUAUAUAUACAUGUAUAUAUGUAUGUUAUAAUAAUAUUAUAUAUAUAUAUAUGUAUGUGUAUAUAGGUGAAUAUAUGUAUAUUAUAAUAUACAUAGAUAUAAUACAUACAGUCCCUUUCUAUUGAGGGAUCCCUCAAAUAAAAUUAUUUGAGGGACGCCCUUUAGGGUACCCUACAAUUUUUUUCCCAAUGAUCCAAACCAUCUAUUUUUUAGAUCUUCAUUCAUAGAUCAUCCUAAUAAAAAAUUAGACAAAUCGGAAACCGUUUCGACAUCCAAUUGUGUCUUACAAAAUCAAUGAACACUGUGCUUCAAGAAAAUGCUAAAAUUUCAAUAACUUAAUUGAGUGGUCAAAUGAUAUCGGAUUCAAGUGAUUUUUUGUAGGGAUGAUCUUUGAAUGAGUAUCUACAAAAUAGACGGUUUGGAUUAGUGAAAUACAAUCCGGAGUGAGGCCUACAAGGGGUGUCCCUCAAAUAAGCUUAUUUGAGGGAUCCCUCAAUGGAAGCUCUCUGAUAAUACAUAUAUUUAUAUAUAUAUAUGUAUGUAUAUUAUAAUAUAAUAUAUAUAUAUAUGGGUAUGUAAUAAUAAUAAUAAUAUACAUAUAUAUACUUGUAUAUAUGUAUGUAUAUAUACAUAUAUAUAUAUACAAUCCCGAUCUCUUGGACUACAGGGGUCCAAGAGAUUUGUGAUCACUCACCGUUUGAUGUAAAUUCAACGGUUCAUUCACUCUUGCACUCCUUUUAAGAAACUUUUUUGAACUGUUGGAUGUUAAAUCCAACGGUAGGUGACCACAGUCUCUUGGACCCUUUGUGGUCCAAGAAAUCGGGUAUGUAGAUAUAUAUUAUAUAUAUUAUAAAAUACAUAUAUAUAAUAUAUAAUAUAUGUAUAAUAUAUGUGUAUAUAGGUGUAUCUAUAUAUUAUAAUAUAUACAUGGGUAUAAUACAUAUACAUAUAUAUAUAUAUAUUAUAAUAGAUAAUAUAUAUGGGUAUGUUAUAAUAAUAAUAUACAUGUAUAUACAUGUAUAUAUAUUAUAAUAUAUACAUAUCGGAUAAAUAUAUAAUGUAUAUGUGUAUAUGCAUAUUCUAAUACAUACAUGGGUAUAAUAUAUAUACAUAUAUAUAUAUAUACCCCUUCUAUUGAGGGAUCCCUCAAAUAUUUGAGGGACGCCCUUUAGGGUACCCUAUAAAUUUUUUUUCAACGAUCCAAACAAUCUAUUUUUUAGGUCUUCAUUCAUAGAUCAUCCUUACAAAAAAUUAGACAAAUCGGAAACCGUUUCGAUAUCUAAUUGUGUCCUACAAAAUCAAUGAACACGGUGCUUCAAGAAAGUACUAAAAUUUCAAGAACUCAAUUGAAUGAUCAAAUGAUAUCGGAUUCAAAUGAUUUUUUGUAGAGAUGAUCUUUGAAUGAGUAUCUACAAAGUAGUAGUCCCCUCCUAAGGAGGUGUUUUUGGUGGGCCCGGUAUUAGCAAUCUUAUCUAAGACUAUAAUUAAAUGAAACAAACAUGAUACUAAAUUUAGUCUAAGCCAAGCCUGUAUACCAAACAACCCCUAAAUGGACAAAUAAACAUUGAUAUCUGAGACCAUACCAUCACUGGAGUUUGUUUCAGAAAAGAUGACAUGAAUCUCAGCAGAGCAGAAAGCCAGAAAGAGCAGGAACCGCAUGGUUGCCAUGGUGGUGAAGGAGCAAGCAAAUCAAGAAAACUGGUGUGUCUGUGAGGCUGAUCAGCUAGUAAGCAGAGGUCAAAAAAAGCACAUUUCUAUUUACCCCUGAUGGUCAAAAAAGCACUUCGCAAAGACUUCCCUCCACGCAGACACACCCUUCAAUUCAAUUCCUUCCACUCUACCAACUACACCACUUGAAGAUUUUUAUUUAAUGAGUCCUUGACAGCAUGCAUGCAUGUAUGUACGUGCGCAUGUACAAGUUCCGACCAAUUCAGAGCAAGUUUUGCUUUGAAAGUUUUGCGGAUGUACAAACAUAGUUAAGCAGAAACAACUCUCUCAUGAGCAAAGCUAGCAUCUUUCGAAUGGGAACAAAGCUACACAAUUCUGAAUGUACGCCUAAAGUCUCCACUUGCAUUGAUAUAAGAGAGAAUUCAACUAAGUCAUUCAAUGGGUACAUUUGGCUUUAGGCGAAAAUGGGUCCCAGAAGCUGACAUGAAAAUCAAGGCUCUCGGGGGUGCCCGGGACGUAUUCAUGGUUUGAUCCACUUUCAUGUUGAAUGGAUGAAAAGGUUUUCAUUUUCGUAAGAAAUGGAUCAAGACAAGAUGAUCGUUUUCACAAAACAAAAAUCUAAUUCAAACAGUCAAUUUCUAUGGUGCGAAGGGUCAAAGGUUAUUCUACAAAAGAUAAAAGUAUAUUUUUUGUGCCAAGGGGUCAAAGGUUAAUAAACAAACUAGCCACAAAUUGCCGUCUAGCCAUACCAAUAAGAACCUCAAUUGAAGUUUUACCAAUUUCAUAAAAAAUAUGAGCUACAUGAAUCAAAGACUUAAUAUCCGGCAACUCAAUUGAUUAAGAGCAUUUAAAUUUAAACCCGAGAUUUUGUGUUAGAUUCUCCUCUUUCCAGAGGACACAUUGGGACAAAUUCUACUUCAGUUUGGAUGGAAAAGAAUCCUUUGUGUCCCAAAGCAAACGUAGCCUGGCCUACAUCUGGCACACCUAAAAUUAUAGUAGCAAAACCAACCAUGAACAAUAAUUAUGAUAUCUUACAGCUUCUCCUAUUCCAGUUUCUGAAUUCAGUAUCCUUCCUUUCCUAGUGCCUUCAAUAGUGAGUUUGACCUAAUUACCUUUGAGAGGGCAAUCCCAAAGCUAAUAGAAUGUUAUGAAUCCUAUGAAACAAUUCAAUUGGGUAUCUCCUUAAAGUUGUAUCGAGGCAUUUUCAGAUAACAUCCAUACAACAUGAAAGGCCGAAGAUGACAUGUUUAAAAAAAUAUAUAUUAAAAAAUAAAAGAUUAAUGGAUUUAAUGUGGCUGUCGCUACUGUUGGAGUUAUGACUAUACAAUAAUACAAUGCCACGUAUGACAGGACAUAUUUGUCUGUAGGUUGGCUUCAUUCAUGGCGUCGAAGACGAAAGACAGAGACUAAUACAAUGCCAUGUAUGAUCGGGACAUAUUUGUAUGUGCGUUGAAGACGAAAGAAAGACUAGCGGAGUGAAGGGGUAAGAUUUUUUGUCAAAUGAUCAAAACCACACAAUCUCAAUUAAUUAUAGUUAGUCAGUUGGGCUGAGGCGUUUGCAUGCGGAACUUUCAAAAGCACGAGUUCAUGACAUUGGCUUGUUUGAUAGAAGAAGCUUCACCAAUUAAAAUCUGAUCACAUGUAAACAAAGAACAAAUGGGAUAUCAAGGAGAAAGAACAAAUCUAAUCACCAAUUAAGUUACACCUUGAGGCCCAACACUUUGUGGAAUAAAGAAGGGUUUUGAAGCCUAUUAAGGGGUCCUAUUUGUUUCCUUUUAUGCGUGAACCGAUUUGGUGGGCUUGGAAGAUAAGUCAAGUCGGCCCUUGGUAAUGAGUAGAGACGACUUGACCUAGCCCUAUAUAACCUUAAGGUCAUGCUCUCAUCAGACAUGUUCUCUAACCUAUUCUCAUCAUAAAGAGAGAGCUGAAACUAGUGGCGAAGCCAGAAUUUCAUGUGUGUGAGGGCAUCUUACAAAUUAUAAAGAAUCAAAAAUUCAAACUCACAAUACAUUUGAAAAAUAGUGUAUAUAUACAUUGUAAACUUAAGUAAAUGGAGUAAUAUAUUAAAGUAAAAGGGCAAAGACAUUCACUUAAGUGUUGAAAAUGGAAAUAAGGUAAUCUGUACACCUGGAGUGCACCGCCACCAGCUGAGCAAGGGGGCAAUUUGAAGUACCUCCUUGUACCCACUGGCGGACCUAGAAAUUUUUUAGCGGAGGUGCAAUAUUGACUAAGUAUGAAAAAUGGUUUUUUGGAAUAAUCAUUUUUUCAAGAUAAUUUUUGACGGCUUUUAUUCCUUAUACAUCAAAUAAGAAAACUUGAUUUUAUGGGAUUUUAGUAUGAAAUAUAUAUUAACUUAAUGAGCCACCAGCUGAGCAAAUGGGCAAUUUGAAGUACCUUAAUAGAUCCGCCACAAUACAUAAGGGUACAUAUCAAAAUGUAAAGUAUUUUAAAUAAUAUACAUAUAGAAAUACAUAACAGUAUAUUAUCUUUAAAAUAUAAAAAAAAAAAUGAGUAGGGGCCCGGGACCACAUUGGUCCCAGUGUCGCUCUGCCCCUGGCUGAAACAGAUUCUAAGAGAGAGCAGAACUCUUGAGCCGUUCCUGUUCUUGCUAGGAUUGUUGUUGCUACAGAUUGGAUGAGUUAAGAGGUUGUGUACUCUAGGAAGAUGGCUCCAGGUAUGUCUUCGUGUCUCUACGUAUUUCAGAUUGUGUGAAAGAUCUUGAAUAUCUAUAAUAUAGAAAUCUAAUAGUUGAUAUCAGAGCACAUGGUUAUUCACACACACUGAAAUCGUUGUUCAAGCAUGCCUACUCUUACUGUUUCUGUAUGCGAAUUUGUUUUUGUAUGCGAAUAGAUGCCGUGACAAAUAUCAUUACUGUUAUCACUUUUUGAUUUCAAUAUUGAUCUAGUGGUGGUAGAGUUGGCCCCGUAUUUGAACUGAAUCAAUUGAGGAAAUUGAAGAUUUCUAUAAAGGAAAGGCUACUUUUAUUCAGAAAACUCGAAAGGAUUGUCAACCAUUGAUGUGUGCAUGAAUGGUCGAGAAAACCCUUUUCAUUGUAUAUAUGAUAUUCUUUAAACAAACUAAACAAACAGAAUCCAGAUGGUAAAACUUGGGAAAAGCAGUGAGUCCUAACACAACACAAUUCUGAAGGUGAUCAUGGUACAAAACUCAAAGUAGUAAAAUUUCGAUGCCUUCUUUUAGGUCUUACUAGAACUUCCUUGCACCCAAUCCAAAAAAUAAAAUUAAAAAUAAGAAAAACUUUGUAGCAUUCGAGUUUGAAGCCCAUAGGAACAUUGUAACAUAACACACUAAAUUUCUAUUUGGCAAUUGAAAUGACAGACCACUAUAUAUUCUUUUCCUGUAUCUACUUACAUAUAUGGAUAGAGAAGAGAAGGUACAAUUACAAAAGAAGAAAUUAACUCUGCUGCAGGCCUUUGCUACUACUUGGGUUCAAUCUUCGCCGAAACUGCGUAUCCACCACUGUAAUCAAAGGCACCAGUGCUGUCAUUCACUUCCUUUUUCGGCAAGCCAUCGUUGUAUGGAU
rnacentral:lncRNA from 1 species